UUUGUGUUUGAGGUGCAACAUCGAACAUGGGUGCUUGGAUUUGUUUCCACCCACAUUCAACUGCUAUCGAAUAUCACCUGCAAUUCAUAUGAAGUACUACAUAAAUCCCCGGCAAGCCUAUGUAGAAGUUUUAAUAAAAUCUAAUAUAACAUUGGGUUUUACUAUACAAAUAAGUGAUGAAUAUUUGAGAAUGAAGAAACGAGUACUGAUGUGGCAGCUGUUCUUCAGCAUUUUUUCCCUCAAUUAUAAUGGUUAAAAUUGGAAUUAACACCUACUCAUCCAAAUCAUUCUGCGAUACAUGGAUAGUUGUUGACUCGGUGUUCCUCUGUCCGAUCCCGAACAAGAAGGAUGCCAAUCGUUAUUAUUAUUAUUAUUAUUUUAAACAUGGCCGUAGGAGAAAUCCUAAUUUUUUUAUUUUUUCCAAUGACUUCUUCAUAUAAUUUAAAAUUCAUUUGAUUUAAGAAAUUUUUUUCCAUCAUUAUUUUUUGAAAAAUUAAUUUAUGUCUAAAAAAAUAGUUUUGAUAUUUUUAAUGAAUAAUAAAAAAAUAAUACAAUUCAGAGUGACUUAUAUUUAGUUGAGCAUUUAUUUUUUAAAAAAAUAUAUAAAAUAUCUACCAUAUAAAUGGUAAAAAAAAACAUUAUCUAGGCUUUAUAAUAUUUUUAGAGAAAAAGAACUUUAAUUUUCAAUCCAUAAAAAAAUAGGUCUUUUAUCCUUUAUAAAAUUUUCUUUUUAAUAAAAUAUAAAAUUUUUAUUUUUAUAAAAAAAUAUUAUUUUUUAUUUUUUUUAAAAUUGUAAGCAAAUAAAAAGUACUCUGUUGUUUUUCUGUUAACCGCACCUUCUUUUUCCGUGGACCAAACGAGUACUCACAUAAAUGUGCGAAGAGACACGAAUGACCUCCGCCCGAGCGCGAACGGCGGGAGAAAACCCAACCUUUUUCUGUUAAAAAUUUAUUUGAAAUGACAUUUUAUAUAAUUCGUAAAAAUAUUUUGGGAGAUGAUAGAACUGAAGCACACAGAGAGACAGAGAGACAGAGAGACAGAGAGGCUAUAAAGGGGCACCUGGGGGCCUGACUCCCGACGCGGUCCUCUCCACCCUCGAAAUCUAAACCUAAUGGCGGAGCCCCUGCUUUUGGAUGGGAUUCCAAACUCUCCUCCGGCCGUCGAAGCCAAUCCGGAAGUGAUCUUUUGAUACCCUGCUCUUUGAUCGCUUUGAAGUCUUCUAUGCGAUUUUUUUUUUUUUACGCUGAAAAAGAAGUCUGCUUCUUUGUGAAUUGAUCAAUGGAUGUACUUGGAUAACCCUAUUCUGCACAUUGUCUUAUGUUUCUCAGGAUCUUAUUCCAGACACAAAAGUGGGCACUGGCCUAAAUAUUUUCGCCUGUCCUGUUUGUUAUCAUUCGUUCAUCGAUCAAAGUGAUUCAAGCCUAAGCAUGUAAGAAAUAACUAUUGUAAAUUGUUCUGCUACGUUUUUAGGAUUUGAAAUCAGAUGCUACUUGUCGUCUCGCUGGAUUUUUUUCAUUCUGAAGUCCAUUAGAUCGUGUAGACAUGACGCUUCUUUAUAUGUUUUAUUGGAUGGAUUUCUUGCAGAACAUCCCCAGCUGGGUCUUGUUUCGAAUGCCAUGCUUGCAAGAAAGCCUACCUCAACAACGGAAUAUAUCUUGAUCUCACAAUAGCCGGUGGCUUAAGGGAGUAUGAUCAAACUUUACCAUUCUUGACAAAAUUCUUUAGGUAAAUAUCUACCUUCCAAUAUUGCUUCAUUCAUACUUAUCUCUAUGCUUAAAUGACGGAAUGACAAUAGAAUUUUGUAGGUUUUCCAUCUCUUCGUUUCUAGAUCUGUUAACAGAGUUACGUAAUGGAACCUUAAUAUGAUCCAUAGAAAAAGCGUUUCCCCCUGGCAAGCUGCUCUAAGUUCUCUGAAGAGCACAUUAUUUCUAUUUAAAAAGAUGUGAUAUUAUUUGCAUAGUUUUAACAUAAAAGCCAGAAUCACACAAACUUGAAUUUAACGAAACUUGAUUGCCAUGGUUUGUUGAAUUAUUAAGAAAGGUCCAAAUUAAAACCUUUGUUGCAAUUGCAGGAAAUCUUGCCUUCAUCUUCCAUCUGCCAAAGAUGGAUCUUCUGGGAAAAACAUCCAAUCUUGGUAAUUAGAAAGCAAGAGAAAGUUUGGUUAGAAUUACAGUAGGCUUCCCUUUCUAAGGGACACUGACGAAACAUAUGACGCCAUAAUCUCUUCUCUGUCGUCAUUUCCUUUCUUGAAAUGUUCUAAUCAAGUUCCUUUGAAUUUUAGACUGACUUAAAAACAAUUUAUACUUGUGGUUUUGGCCUCAUAUAGUUUGCAUUUGAAUGCCUAUCUUUUGCACUUCUCUUUGUACUGCUAUGUGUAUAAACAUGCAAGCAUUACUUGCAAAUUUCUUUUUAGAAGUCAAUCUUUAUUAACAGCCGAAAUUAUGUUAUUGAUUUUGAUUCAGCAGAAAAUCUUAUUCAGCAUUAGAUACUAUUUCAUGCAAAAGUACAUUUCCUCUUCUACCUGCGCAAUUAUAUAUCAGAAUAGAAGUCUUUCAGAAUUAUCCAUGAGGUUACAUUGUAAUAAUUCAUCCCUGGUGGUUUUACUGGCUAGAAGACUGGUCUUAUAAUGCUUCUAUGUUUGAAAACCGUAGAUUGUUCCUCCAAGUAGGUUAUAACUGAUUCCGUAUAUUUUCAUAUCUUAAACUGGCAUCCUUUAGUACUGGUUAGAUUUAAAUUUCAGGAUAGUGAUUUGCAUCUAGAGAAAUUUCUGGGUGUUUAGUACUAUAAAAAUGACUAGAAAAGAAGAAAGUAAGUAGACACCUUGUUUAUUAUGCACACCAUAUGAUAGAAUGAUCUCUUGUAAAAAGAUGGUGAAAAACUCCAUUUGCAGAGAACAAUCUUACUGAGCAAUAGACAGUUGAAAAGCGUAAAGCUGAUUGUAUAUGAGCUGGAAUUUCUCUAUGCAUUCUUACAGAUUGUUAACUGCAACAGGGGCGCAUUGAUCUCAUAUCUUUAUGAGAGAGGAUGGCGACAAAGUUUUAGAUGGGGUGGUUUCCCUGGCCCAGAAAGAGAGGUUUCAUGAAUUGUUUCUCGAUCAUAUUGCUGUUCUAGAGCAGUUGUGAACUGUUUCAUCUCCAGAUUUCACUUUUCCUUUCUUUCACCCUCUUUUAGCAUGUUUUCUUUUUAUGCAAUGCAUAUAGUUGCAAUUCGGGAUUGGUUUUAUGUCUUAGAAGAGAAACUCAUGAAAAGUUAGGGAAAUUGUAUUCUGAAAUAUCAAUGAGAACCUGAUACUAUUGCAAUGCUCUACAAUUUCUCUAAAUGCAGCUUGAAAUGGCUAAAUAUUACCUGAGACCUGCAAAAGGAGGAACUAUUGUUGAUGCAAGUUGUGGAAGUGGCUUAUUUUCAAGGCUAUUUGCCAAGAGUGGAAUAUAUUCUCUUGUUGUUGCUUUAGACUUCUCAGAGAAUAUGCUGCAGCACUGCAAUAAAUUUAUUAAGCAGGAGGGAAUUUCUAAAAAGUAUGAGUUCUUUUCUUUGGGCAUGACCUGAUUUUCUUAUACAUAGAUUGAGAUCAUGGUAUGCUGAACUAGCCCGUACCGGUCCGGUCCUUGACCGGUAUGGUAUGGCGGUGAAAAAACGGUUCUGGCCCCAUCGCACCAGUACAAAUCCGGUAUAAAACGAAUCGGACCAGUUCGCAUCGGUACAUGUCCGGCACUAUUUUGUAUCGAUGCAAAUCGGACCGGUUCGCACCUAUACGCCUUCGGAUAAAUGCCACGGAAUGCCAUUCUGUGACAUUUUUUUUUAAUGCCACAGAGUGGCAUUUAUUGCCACGUUGUGGCAUUUUUUUUUAAUGCCACAGAGUGGCAUUUAUUGUCACGUUGUGCCAUUCUGUGGCAUUUUUAAUGCCACGGCAUUAAAUGCCACUCUGUGGCACUUUUAAUGCCACUCUGUGGCACUUUUAAUGCCACUGAAUGCCACUUUGUGGUAUUAAAAAUGCCACAGAGUGGCAUUAAAUGCUACUCUUGGCAUUGUCUACAGUGCGCCGCAUGCUAUUGCCGUUUCAGUACUGGUUCAACCGGCACCGAACUAGUACCAAACCAGUCCGGUAGGCGACCGGUACGCCUACUGGUACCGGUUCAGCAAUUUUUGAUUGAGAUAAUUAUGGACCUUCAGAAUUGUAUCACAUAAUGUCUUGUUUCUGAGGAUGCUAUUGUUUUAUAGGGAUCUGAUUUAUUUUUAUUUUUAUUCUUAUUCUUUUUCUGUGGAAGAAACUUGAUCUUGGUCAGGGCUGACAUCUGUAGACUUCCAUUUGUUUCAAGUUCCAUUGAUGCUGUGCAUGCUGGUGCCGCACUACAUUGUUGGUCUUCGCCAUCUGCUGCUGUAAGAAUACUCCCAGAAUUUCUUUUUUUUUUUUGAGAAAAAUAGUGGAGAUGCCACCACUAGCAUUUGGACCCUAGACCACUCACAAAUGGAGAGGUUUGCAACCAGCUGAGCAGACACUGGUUGGCUACUUUCUACUGAAUUUCUGUCACUGAUAAAGCUGAAGUAAGGAACCUGAGUUUUAUAGUCUAGAUUUUGUAUAGGAGCUUAAGCAGUUCUAUUAACACAUAUAUUAUAUGUGCAAGAAGAUGUCCACUAAAAUUUUGUGUAGCAGCAAAGUUUCAUUAAACAACAAACAGAAUGGAGAAAAUAUUUUUUUUGAUGAAACAGAAUGAAGAAAAUACUGCAAUUUGUUUUGUAUAAAGUUUCACUGCUGAAAUAUUCUAGUCUUAUGAAAAGCUUCAUGGAUUAGAAGAUACACCCUUAGUCUUCCAAAAAGCUUCAUGAAUUAGAGAUUCAUUGAGCACCAAUGAAUGUUGAUUGGUUGGUUUUUCCAUUGAUUGGUCUGUGUGAAAUAAGAAAAGGCACUGGUCAAACCAUAGAAGCUUGCCUCACAUUUUGCCACAGAUCCUAGAUCCAAUAUCAGUUCUGCAUUUUGCUGCCGUGAUCCCUCUAUUGGCCCCUUACUCUGUCUUUGCUAAAUACUGAAGAAAACCAGAGUUUUAGUCACUUCACCAUCUCUGAUGAAUUUUGCAGCAUGACCCUUUACCUGUAUAAUUUCAAAUUUUUUAAUUCUCAACUUGUAAUAGAAAAAGCUCACACGAUUAUUUAUAUGCUCUAUCAUCUUGACCUAGAAACCUCGAAACAUAUCCGAUACAGUGUAGCUCAGUCCUCUCUGUAUGAGCUUAUUUCACUUCCAAAUUCAUAUAGGAAGCUUAUAUGGAUAUUAUUCCUGAUUCAUGAAGUUUCUUCUUGUAUUUUUGGUGAUGUAGAUGUCUUCUUUAUAGCAAAACUGAGUGUUUUUAACACCUGGAUGCUUGUUUUUGGGGUUUCAAGUUAGCUUUCUAAUCUAAUAAUUUAGAUUGUAGUUUUGAAAAAUAGAGAGUAUCAUAAGUCUCCAUUAUAUACAAAUAUUAAUUUUUUUCCAAUAGAAAUUUUAGUGGGUUCUUUCUAAUUUCUCAAAAAAAAAUCCCAGUUCGGUUCCUUCCUUUUUCUAAAAAAAAUAUAUAAUAAAUUUACAUGCAAACAAAAGGGAGUGCACUCCUCUGAGUUGGAUUUUCCUUCUCCUAGGUCGCAGAAAUAAGUCGAAUACUCCGCCCUGGAGGUGUAUUUGUCGCCACAACAUUCAUUUUUGAUGUCAUUCCCAUUGCUGUUCCAGUCUUGAGGAUGCUACGCAAGGUAAUGCUUUCAUUCAGUUUUUAGGAUGUACUGCUUCUAUGUUGAGCAUGAAACUCAAAACUGUAUGGUUACCAUCGCAAAUGACAUGGGAUUUGGCAAUUAUAAAGUAGUAUCAUUAUAUGUGAAGAUCAGAAUAUUGGGGCUGUAGGUAGCAGAAAAGGAAGCAAUAACCCCCUAUUCAUUGUGUAUUGUGAAACAUGCUGAUCUCAUUACGCUAAAGCUGCAGCUACAAUAAGAUGAAGGCUUCAAGAAGCCUUUUCUUUUUUCAAAUAAAAGAAAAUUACACAUUAGCCAUCAUGAUUUUAAACAGGCAGAUUCUUGCUGACAGCGUUAUGAUUAGCAUAUUAUAUCAACAAAAAAAAGAAGAGUAUGCGCCUUCAAAUGGCUCAGUUGAGUUUUGAGUCCUGAAAGAGUUAAGUUCAAUCACCAUCAGGAUUGGAUCAGGAAUGAUCUGUUGUCCUUUUUUUUUGGUGAAAUUUAUUGUCCUUGACAUCUGAUGAUUUGCUUUCUUUUUGCAGUUUUACAUUGGAAACUCAAGCAACUAUAUUUUUCUGUCAGAAGGUGAACUCAAAGAUCUUUGCGAAGCAUGCGGCCUAGUAGGUGUUACAUGCAUCAGGCACCGUCUCUUUGUUAUGAUCUCUGCCAUCAAACCAAACUAAUCAUCCAGUUGAUCUCAAGCACUAUGUUUAUCAUCAGUACCCAUUUAUCUCCAUCACAAAUCACUUCGAAGUCGCAUUGUUGUUGUUUGUUUGUUGUCUUUCUAGGAAACUUAAUGCUGAUUAAUUUAUCACUACCGCAAGAGAUGGUCACAACCCAUUUCAUCUGCAUCUUGUCUUCAAAAGACAUGUUUAUGUUGAUGAGUAGGAUGUAUUGAUAAGGGAUUUCGAUGCGUUGUUUGAAGGGUAAUAAACAAGGAUUAAUUAAGGUAUGCAGCUGUUUGGUUCUUUAAGAGCUUCAAGUUUUAUCUCUGCCUUUUCUUAAUUGCUGUCGAGAGAAAAUUCUAGAUGGCAGUGCCAAGCUUGAAUAAUAAGGAUGCCAGGUCCACCAAAAGCCUCUUUUAUUACACCUCAGAGUGUGAAUUAAAUUUUGAUUCAGAUAUUUGUCAGUUUCUGCCACGUUUCUUGAUUAAUAAGGAUGUCAGGUGCACCAAAAGCCGCUUUAAUUAGACGUCAGAAUGUGAAUUGAAUCCUCAUUCAGGUAUUUGCCAGUUUCUGCCACAUUUCCUGCAAGUAAUGUCGCUGGUGUACUGAGAAAGUUAUUGCAAAAUAUAUAUAUAUAUAUAUAUAUAUAUAUNNNNNNNNNNNNNNNNNNNNAAAUAAUAUAUAUAUAUAUAUAUAUAUAUAUAUAUAUUGGAUCUAUCCUUGUUUCAUCUUGACCCAAGGCCAAAAGUUCUGAACAUGGACAAAAUUACAGCCAUGCUUGACAAUUAUGCAUAUACACUUACCUUGUUUUUAACCCUAUAUUGUAUUUGAAAUAUAAUAAUUUUAUGCUUCAUUUUACUUCUUUUGCCACCAAGCAGGGCCAAUUUGUUUGCACAAACCUACACUCUCUCACUGAUAUGUGAAGCCCAUUUCUGAGAAUCGCGUCGCAUGCCUUUCAUCACCAUGAUAACCAAGUCACAUUUGCUCUUUAGAUCGCUCCCUGUAAAGAGAGAUGGUUUCAGAAACUGGUAAUAUAAAUUGUCAGCAUCAUGAUCUGAUAAUAAAAUCAAGCUGGAUGGUAUAGCUACUCAUUCCUUUUUUUUUGAUGUUACAGUUACAUCAAGAUUAGAUACAAUUACCACCUUCUUGUUGCCUUACAUUAGGGGUUAAAACCUUUGGCUUUCAAUUCUUUUAUCUACUUGUCGUUUUGCAACGAUUUGAAAUCGAGCUGUUCUCUCAUAGCAUCUGGGUCUUGUUGCACAUCAAGUGAUGAACUUUAUUAAUGGUUGAGUGAAAACUCAUGUCAAAUAUCUAAACUAAUAUAGUAUAAUACUUAUCAAUUUAGACAAUAUUUAUUUAGUUUAGAUAUCAAAUAUUGGUUUAGAUAGAGUAUAAUACUUAUUUUUUUUAGAUAGAUAAUAUUCUUGUGUAUUAGUUAUACUUAUAUCAAUUAUAUAAGUAUAAUUAGUACUUAUAUAGUUGAUACUUAAUAUUGAUAAUAGUAAGAUACUUUAUUAUCUAUUACUUAUACUCACUUAUUAAGAGAACAGAUAAAUAAUAGUCACUUGUAACAAAUACCUACUAAAAAAUGAUUAUUAUAGGCUUAUCUUCCUCUUGUACCCGCUAUAAGAGCAAAUGACAACCAUUAUUUACUACAAAUAUAUUAUUUUUUAUAUUUUAUAUGUAAAACUAUUAUUAUGAUAACUAUUAUAAUAGUAAUGGGUAAUAAUAAAAAAUAAUAAUACUACUUUUUAAUCACUUCUCACUUGAUAAAAAUAUUAUUUCUCAAACUAUAUAAUUUUUUUCAGAGAUUGAUGCAAAAAAUUGAACUUUGAAAAAAAUAUUUAGUUAAAAAAUCAUGCAAAUGAAAAUAAUAUCAUUAUUGAUAUCAAAACUAGGUAUUGUAAUACUAAAUAUGUGUUAUUGAAGAUUCAUUUAUCAAAAAUAAGAAAUUUAUUCCAACAAGAUGAAUAGUAUUGAGAUUUUAUAAUUUAUUAAGAGCAAAAAAAAAUUCAUCAAUAUAAUCACUUCUCAUCAAGAAUAGGAACUUUGAUAAAUAACCAUAAUCAUUUUAGAUAUAUAUAAUAGACCAUUUAAAAUAAAAAAUAUAUUAAACAAGGGCCCCAUUUAUUAUCCAAAAUAAAAAUAAUAUUAAUAACAUUACUAAUAUGGCAUCUAUAGGAUGAAGCCAGAGCUCGGCACAAGCUAGACCUCUAUUUUAGUUAUAUAUAAUAAUAAAUUUAAGUUAAUUUAACCAAAUUGCAAUAUCAUAUGCUUAAAUUUCUAGAGAUUUUAUGGCCUCUCCCUCUUUCUUCUUUAAAAUCCAAAUUAAUGCCCACAAAUCAUCCUGGAACAAGCAGGAACCAAGGAUUUCAUAAAUGUAGCUCAAUUCUGUGAAAUAGCACUAUCGCUAGUUAUAACCGUUGGCUUGGUUUAAGUUCACAUAUUUUCUUGUCCACAAAAUCAGAGAUUUGUACGAAAAAUCUUCAAGUAGCUCGAUGACGCAGUUCGCCAGAAAAGAGAAAGAAACAGUUUGCAACAUGCACAGAGAAUUUAGCAUUUCAAAAGUUACCAACUACCCGAGCAAUCUUCUUACAGUUAAGCAGAUUCUGUUUAAUGCCUCUUUCCUUUUUUUUCCAAAAAAAAAACCAAGAACUUUCCUUAAAAAACAACUAAAAAUAAUUCAAAACCACCAAACAUCAGUUAAAUCUUCCAGCAGCUUGUUGUCUAUCAUUUUUUCGAGGGAAGCCUGUUGUCAAUCAAUUGGAAAUGUAUACUUCCUAAAAGAAUCAAUUCCAAGUCCAAGAUAACAUCUAGUCUCUGAGGCAGACACCAGGCUCAGAGAGACCACAUUGGUAGUGUAAGGAAGCAUUCUUGCAUACAAGAUUGGUCAAUAGCUGUGUAGUGCACAACUUUUCCUUGAUCUGUAAAUUAGUGCACUCCGAAGAAAAGUUCAAUUCUUGAGUCGCAUCAACCUGAGGCCACAAGAGUCUAUUAUGGAAGCAUUACAUUAUCAUCCACUCCAUCCUGUUAAUGAUCAUGUUUGUUAAGUUGUUAGUUGCAAUAUUAUGCCGGGAUUCUUACCUUUUACCAGAAUACAAACCCUAUCACCGGGCUCAACAUUGCCGUUCUCCUCCUCCAGAGUUACAGGGCUAUCAGAUGACAUCUUCUUAUCUCUUUCAGCUUUCAUUUGAUAUUCCCACUUGAUGGGAAAGCAGCAUUUUCUCAGCAUUAUCAUCAUUGUCGUCAUCAUCAGUUUCAAAAUCUUGAUCUCCAUAAAAUACAUGGGUCACUUUCCUUUCUCUGUCAUUCAACUCCGACCUAGAACGUUGGAUCCUAGAAUGAUGUCCCACUAAACCAUAGUUUUCCAACUCAUUUUUCUCCAUUUCUGAUGCUUUUAGAGAACCCAUCCGCACUCUUCCUCUGUCCCUAGGAUAGGUAUGGUACAGGAAGGAGUAGAUGAAGCAACAAAGUGACAUAGGAAUUGCUAUUGCAGUGCAAAGUGCCUUGGCUAGAGAGGCAGCAUUCUCUUUGUCUGUUUCAACACUAGUUCCCUCACCUGGCGGUUUAUACCCAUAAACAUACUCAGCUAAAAUGCCCACAACAGGAGAAGCGAAUGAAGAUAGUAUAGACUCGAAGAAUCUACUCAGAGCAUAUAUGCUUGUUCUUGAUUUCUCGGGGACGAUCUCUGCAAAGAUGGGACUGCAAGCAUUAUAAAGCAAAGUAAUUAAAAUUCCAAGGCUAUAAUUCUCUCACUGCUCUAGAGAUAAGUGCAGCACUAAAUUAAAACUGCAAAUGGUAUCAAAUUUACAUCUUAGUAAUGGUCGAGACUUGAGAGUUUAUGUACCAAUCCCUUUCUUAUUUAAUGAAAUAAUUAAUGGAGCUAGUAGUUAUGCUGAAUUUUAAAUGAAGAUGCAUUCUCAUGAUGAAGAUCUUACAAGUACCUGCCAAAAUUUUGCAAUUAUGAUUGACUUGUAACACACAAAGAAUGAGUUCAGAUAUUGGGUUCGUUUCACAAUGAGUAUGAGAUUCACUAUGUUUUAAUUCUGUUCUGAGAAAAUUGUAUGGAAGAACAGAAUUAAUUGUUAGAAACUGAAGUCAUUAAUCAGUGCUUCAAAGUUCAAAUUUUUAUAUAUCAAGUGAAAGGCAACUGAAAGUCAGUUUUACUUUUUUAUCAGUAUUACAAUGUCCUUGCUACAAUUAUGUUAUGAUCAUAGUAAGGUGCGUAUAAAGUUUUAAUAAACUUCAGAACUGAUAAUAAAAUGAAGAUGGGUAACCUACCCGUUUGUAGCCGGACCAUUCCAAGUUAAGCUCAACCCCAUAACCAACAAGACAAUGGAGCGAGCAAGUCCUGUGGAGGGGUUAGCAGGUAAGACCAACAUCAACACAGCUGCAAGUGGAACAGCAGAGCCAGAGCUUAUCUGUGACGAAACUAUCCUUCCAGAGUUUGGAAAAUUUAUUGCGAGAAAAUCCCCGAUCUUUCCUCCCAACAGCCCUCCAAGUGAUGUUCCGACCAUAAACAUGCCCAUGAGUAGUCCAGUUCGUCCAUGUGAGAAUCCGAUGAGCUCCAGCCACAUAGGAGUAAAUGAAAGGGCUGACCAUGGGAAAGAUCCAGUGACACCCUGAGCCACAAUAAUCUGAAAUGAUGGAAUCUUCACCACAGCCUUGGCUUCCUGGAUGAGGCCUUUCACUUCCAUCCAUACAGGCUUGCAUGAAAUAGGCUUGCUUCGUGAACCAACAGUUACUGAAAAAUGGGGAUCUACUGCAAAGAGUCGUACCAGAAUUCCUACCAUCACACUUACCACGCCAACCAGAUGGAAGGCAACUCUCCAACCCGCAAUUCCCAUGAAUGAAUGUGGAGCCAAUAGGAGAGAGAAUAAGCCACCAAGGACAGAACCGAUCAUACCAGUCAGAUGUAGCCAUCCGAAAGCCGAACCACGUGUGCUGUCAUCAGUGGAGUCUGCAACAAGUGACUGAAUGGCCGGCAUGACUAUUGCAAGCCCGAUUCCGUUCAAGGCUCUUGAGAUUGCUACCUGCACAACAGACAAAUUAUUAACUACAUGCAAAACACAUUAGAUCUUUUGUGCAGAUUCAAAGCUUAAUUAAGUUAGAUGGCAAAAACAGAACCAUCACAGGCAUUUAAAACAUUAUAUUGCUUCAUGAAUUCAGAAAAUAUCUCUUACUAUAUUUAAUGGGAACUUUUGAGUGUUUAUCAUUGGCUCAACCGUCUCAUGUGAUGGCAUAUAAGAAAAGAUAAACAUUAAACAAGUAGUUAGAGAGUUUCAAAAAGACAAGCUAUCCAACUGUUAUAAUAAUGGAAGAGGCCCAAGAAAAAAAAUCUAGAUUUAUUAUAGUUCCAAAGGAAAAAAAAUACCACCAACAGAAAUCUAACCCAUGAACUUUUCACAAAGAAGAAUUAAACAUUUCAAAUUGAAAAAAAAGAACCUUGAGAAAGAGAAGUUGAAUUUUUAGGUAAUACAAAUUUUUCCAUGAUAUUGAAGUUUCAACAGCUCAUAAUAUUGAAAAAGCACCAUUUUGAAUCACUAUUUUGACACAUAAGUCCUUCCAACAUGAGCUAGCCAAAUAGUCUAAGAAUCAGAAUCAAGUAAAGCUCCAUCUAAUAAUUCUUAUUUACAAAAGCAGAUUCUAAACAACAGUUAAUUCAAAAUAUUUGUUGUAACAACCUAGGACCUCACCCAAAAUGGCUAGCCAAAAUGUAUUAUUUGGUUCCUUGAUCCUGUAUAAGUACUUAAGAUCUAUCCAACGAAUAACCGAUGUGCGAAUAAACAGCCCAUACGGUCCUCACAUAUUUUUUCCAUUUAAGCUCUGACGUUCUCGUCAGGCUAAAUAUUCAAAUCUAAUCACUAGCACCACGAUCGGUCCGUAGUCAGCCCUAAUGGAUCCGCUCUGAUACCAUUUGCAAUAACCUAGAACCUCAUCCAAAAUAGCUAGCUGGAAGGUAUUAUUUGGAUUUCUUGAUCAUGUAUAAAUAUUCAAGAUCUACUCAGUGAAUAACCGAUGUGGGAAUAAACACACGCCCGCACGGAUCCUCACAUUUAUACCCAAAUGGCAACAAUUAGAGUCACAAGCAUAGGGUUUAUAUUCAUAUACAAAAAAAUGGAAGCCAAAUGUCACACAGCAAUCGCAGUAGUCCACCCAUGUUUAUAACUGUCGUUAACUCCCCAUCAUCCCAAUCUAAUCACCAGCAACAGAAAACAUAAGAACUCACCAAAAACACAGCAAAACCCCAUUCAAAUCCUCAGCAAAUCCCAAUCAUUCAACACUCAAUUCCAUCCAAGAAAAGCAAAAUAUUUCCACACGACACAACAGACCACCGAAAAAAACAAUGCAAGCUUCAAUCUUUCCAGCUAAAACCAAAUCCCAGGCUCAAAUCCAAAAACCCAAAAUCCACUUCUCUCCAUGCACCCGAAAGUUCGAAAACAUGACCGGAUAAAACGCCCUAAAGACAGCAAACUUCAAUGCAAAAGUUGGCAUAGAACGUGAAAAGCACCGACUUUAUGCUGUUCCGGACCUGAAGGAAGGUGUCGGAGAGGGCGACGAGGACUGUGGCGGCAGCCCAGAGGAAACUGCCGAGAGCUAUAACGUGAGCUCUAUUGUACCGGACGGCCAGGUAGGCAGCGAGGGGGUAGCAGGAGGCCUGGACGAGGGACCGGAAGAGGGUGAGGAAGCCUAGGCCCGUCGGAGUGGUGUGCAGCGCAGCCCCCACCUCCUUGUAGACCGCCGGGAGGAGCGCCUCGUCGGCCCUCUCCAUGAUUCCGGCGAGGUUCACCAGCACCAGCGUCCGCCGCUCCUCCCCAAUCGGCCCCAUCUCCUCCUCCACGCCUUGGGAUCGACGGUUAAGAGAGAGAGGAGAGGGAGCAAGCGAAGUUGGACUUCGGCCUCGACUUGAGAUCGGGAUCGCGCCGCGGAAGUGCUGCUAUUAAAAAUUAGAGACGUGGAAGAUGAAAGAAGCACGUGGAGUGUUGACCCUGAAUAAGGACUGAUGAUUUUGAGCCACAGGACAGCAAGUGAGUUUGGUGGGACCAUCUGCAAAGUUACUGACCCAAGAGGUUACUAAUCCACUUUUUAAAGCAAUAUUACAUACUUACGUUAGCCUAGUGGGAGCAUGACCUUAUUUCCAACCAAAUGGUUCCGAGUUGGAAACGCACGGGGGUAACCAAGCUGGGCUCACGGAUGGAGAGAGUACGAGUAAAACCGGCCGAGAUGCCCAACACGGUCAUUUUUGCCCGUAUUAAAUAUUCUUCUGAUGGGGUGGGAGCUGCUACAUGAGAGUGGGCUUGUCCCUUCCUCUUCCUUCCCCUUUUUUUCAGCAAAAAAAAGAAAAAGAAAAUUACACACCUACUUUCCAAGGAAAAAAAUAACACCACUUCAACAUUCAUGACAUACCGAUUGCUAAGAACACCCAACCAAAAGCACACUUCGUGUACCCAACGUGGUUUUCUCCAUGCAUUUCUACUACGAAGGAUUGCUCUUCCUCUUAAGCGUGGAGAGUGCGGAUCAUGUGAUACUCGGAAUGCCUUUCUAAUCUGAAAAGAAUUGAGAGCUCAACAUUUUAAUCAUAGGCAAACUAGUCAAAUCGCAAGUCUAGUUAAAUUUUAACUUAGUUAAAAGGGACUAGGUCAACAAGAGCACAUAUGUCAAAAAGAAAAAAAAUGGCGUAUGAAAAGGUAUGCUAACAAAAAUAAUCCAUGCAAAAUUAGAUAUUUAUAAAGCUAUAUAUGACAAAAGAAAUUACCGAGAAUGCUGCAAAUUGGUUAUAACUCAUAGAUCCUGCCAAGCUGCCUAAUUAUGCACAACCACAUCACAUUGAUACAAAGAGAAAGGUCACAUGAAUUAACUGCUGGAAGUUUUGAUCAGUGCUAUAAGAUUUUUCCAUGAAAGGCUUCUUUUAUGAAAAUAUGGGAGGCAGGGACCUCAGCCAUCCCUGAAAAACAAGGAUCAAGAAUUGCUGGCUCUCAUCAUGUUGCUGAGCCACCCUAUUACCUCCAUGCUCUUGUCCCCAAGCAAGCCUGAAAUGGAGCCAAUCUAAAGCCAAGUUGAGCUCAACUUAUAAAGCGAGUCUGAGGUCAAUUAUAUCUGCUAUCCUUAUCUCUUCUUUCUUUUUAUCAUUUUUUUUUUAUCUCAUUCCAUUUACUAAUUAAAUUUAAAUUGUUCACUUUCUUAACACAAUGCUAACCUAGGUCACUGGGUUCGCUCAUCCUUAUCAAACAGGCCAAUCCAAAUCAUGACUUGUCCAAUCUAGAAAUGAAGGCUUUCCCUCAAUAUGAAACCACCAUCCCAUUCAGCACAUUCUGACGGUUGUCUCAUCACAUUUAACCUGGUUUACAGCCAAGCAGAUUAAACAUGUAUGCAUAGAACUUGACUGCAUAUCUGGAUUUAGAAUGACGAGUAUAAGAAUGAACUCCAGGGGGCCAACAAGACCACCUAAUUUCCAUUCCCGAUCAAAAAGAUCUAAGGAUUCACUGAUUCGUCAAACGUGAAAAUAACAGAUAAUAUUACAAACGAGUCCAGAAAGGUUGCCGGUCGACUUGAAGGUUACUGACAAGAAGGCUUUGGGCAACAUUGGUUGCAAAAGAGAGGCUGUGGAGGAGCUGCUAGAAUUAUAGAACUGAAAUUAAUGCACACCUACAAGAACAAUGCAGAGAUAGGCACCAAAGAUGGACACCCAAGAGAGGGGAAGCAGAGCAUGCUACAUCACAUCCAUAGCAAGCCUCACUGGCUUGUCUUUAGAAAAAGCUGAAUCACGGUUUGGCACCAUCAGUAGCUGAUGAUCUGGUUCCUCAUCGCUCUCACCAACAGUUGACGAUGCCACUGACUCGGACCCAUCUGCUUUUCAAAAUAAAAUGUCACAAACCAACAUCUCUAACUCAUAUAAUGUGAUGUGCUAUACAAAUGUAAGACAUCCUGAUUAUGCUUGAAUUAUAUGAAUUGUCAAUUAAUCAUCCCUGAUACCCCAUGUUCUCUCCUCCUUCCCUCCCAUUUUUUGUGCAAUAAUUUGCCAUUCCCUGUGAGAGGCAAAUCCACAUAGCAUUUCCCAAUACCACUAUACUAGUUAUGAGCUUGAACUCAUUUUUACAAAGAUAACAAGUCUGCUUGUUGGUCGAUGCUUAGUAUGCUAAAAGAUCAUCCACCUGAAUUUCAAGUAGACAAAUUAUAUGCAGCUUAUGAACAGUACCUGACAAUUCGAGAUGCUCUGGUAAAUGUCUGACUGCUGUGAUCUGAAUAGUUUCCGGUAGAAGACAGUUGCAGAAAGAUCCUGAAGUUAAUACAAAUUCAUGUAAAUCGUCAUGAAGAAACUUUAAUUUUAGAGGAUUCUAAAGGAUAGAAACAUAUUUUACGAAAAUACUUGCCUAAUCUUGCAAGACGGUUCACCCAUCCUGGAAUUCGCUUUCCAGUCAAACGGAUACAAACAUCGUCUGUAAAAUGAUUGCAAUUUUUGGCGAUCAAGUGGUAGGAGUCACCAUGAUAUCUUCCAGCAAGGUGUUCAAUGAACAAACGAAACUCUGAAUGGGACAUGUCUGUGGUGCCCAGAAACACAGAACGCCUGAAGAUAAAACCAGGGCAGCUCUUCGGUUCUACCUCGAACACUCCACUGGUCGGGUAUUCAUGAGCUCCAAAUCCAUACUCCAUGCCAUGUACUGUUAUCAAGUUUCAGAAUGGCAUACUUCAGUAAUUGAAACAUAUCUUAAUUAUGUGAAGAUGAAAAAAAAAGACCAAAAGGAAGAUAAAUAUAUAUGAGUGUGGUAGAUAUCGUGUGAAAAUCCAAAAGAAGAUUUCUUAUUUUGCUUCCAUAAAGACACUCAAGAGCUAAGCAUCAAAUUGGACUGCAGCUUGCCUCAGUAGUCACACCCUUUUUCUUAGCAACCAGAGGCUCUGGGCUCAAUUCUAGGAUGGUGAAUCUCCAAAAAACUGGACAUGGGAAAUUGCAGUGCAGGGGGGUCUCUCUCUGUUUCUCUAAAAAAAAAGAGCUAAGCAUCGAAGAGUUUCACCUGAAAACUUAAAGGGCCUUACGUAAUGUCACAUAAUGUUAUAGAUCAUGGGUGAUAAAUAAUUGAUCCAUCAAUUGCACAGCUUCGAGAUAUCUAACUAGUAAAAUAUCUAAAUUAUGUCUAAAAAAGCUGAGUUUCAAACAAUUGUGUAGAUUGAAGCAAUAAGAAAAAUCUGCUCUUUAAUAGGAAGUUGCUAGAACAAGUAUAGAUAUAGGGGGAAAAGGACCCAAAGGAUAUAAAGAUACGAAACAGUAUUCAUUUAAAAAGCUGAUCUUGAAUGGUUUUGCUCCAAUGACCCAAAAGGGCAGCUCCAAUGAAUGGUUGCACCUAUAAAAUCCAUUGACAAGAGAACCAAAAAAUUGUAGAAAUUUUGUAGUUCUAAUUAGUUAUCAAAGAUUUUGGAAGGAUAAACUAAAAACAGUCACAUCAUUUUCCAAAUAUAUGCAUAGCUUACAGCCCUCCUUGGUCACACCUUACAUGGUCAUUUAAAGAGACCUUAUUAUAAGUAAUGGCAGUCGUGAGGCUUCUAAUAGGGUUUAUGCUAGUGCCAGUGACUGGGAUGUUCGCCAGGUGAACAAGGAAACAACAAAAUGUAGGUCCAUACAAAAUUUAGAAGACUAACCCAAUGUCCACCAUAUAUAGAAAGAAACAGGAUCUCUGAUGAAUUAACAUUCAAAACAAAAAUGUGUACAUUUAGCAUGUAUAAAGCAUGUAUAAUAACACUAUUUGGACAAUUAUAAGAUAUUAGAUUCAAAAUGCAAAACUUUAGACCAUGUGCCUAGGUGACAUGAAGAACAAAAUCCACAGUCCUUGAGUCAACUCCAUAGAAACAUCUUUUCCAUUUAUUUUUGGUUUGAAAGGGAGAGUUACCUAUGCUCCAUGAAAAAUUAGAAUCAAAUAUCUCUCUUUUUUAAUAGGUUAUAGAUAACCAUGUCUUGACUACAGGAAAGAUAACAGUAUGAAAAUUAGAAAAAACACUAAAAUGUAUGUACUAAGAUUAAUCCAUGUAAUGGAAUGGGAUAAGCUUAUGUUCAUAGAAGACCGCUGCUAAGACCAAAACUCCGGCAAAUAAAAGAUACCGCACUAAAAUUAUAUAGAAAUAACAGAUUAAUAACAUAGAUCAAUAUAAAUAGAUAAAAUCAUUACAAAAACCGAGAAAAAUAACAGAAGAUAACAAAAAAAAUCAAAGUACCAGUAAGAGAAAACAAACCAAAAUGGUGAAACUAAUGACAUCUGAGUGCACCAGUCACAAAUUUGACAUAAAUUACAAAAGCAAGAUGUGUGUAUAAGUAAAAUAAAUUUUACCCCAAAAAGCAAAAAAAAAGCACGAAUAAGCUCAAAACAUCUCAUCUAUUCUCACAGUAACUAAAGAAAAAGACAGCAAAUUUCUCAUCUACGCUCCUCAUCUUUUGUUGCUAAACCCAUAUAUUUGUGCACUAUUGGGAACAAAAUGGUAAAAUAAUUACCUUAACAAAUGAACUAAAGAUAAUGUAAUAUAGAUAAUAAUGACCAAAUAUUUGUGGAUGGAGUUAGAUGCCCAUAGUCAUAAGUCAAAUGGAUAUUCCCUCCUACAAACCCAAGUUGGGGAACUUGCGGAGCUUACCAGUAUUACCAUACCAAUAAUUUCUCACCAAAAAACAUAAAAGUAAAUGCUGUAUAUCACUAACUGAACCUUUCAUGUAGAUCUGUUUUCAUGUGCAUGAAGCCAAUUUUCAAUGCAUACUGAAGUUUAUUCAAUCAAGAAGCUAUGGUAUUUAUCCAUGACUCAACCUGUAUUUGAAACUAGCAUGGAAACAGUAAAAACUGAAAAUUGCCAAGAUAUUUCAACCUAUCCUUGAUGGGAUAGGAUACAGCACUUCAUGUUUUAUUCCACCAACUGAAAAUGUCACACCGUUUUGUCAGGGAGCACAUAUAGCUACCUAGUUUGGGAUGUCCUGUAGAACUUAAGCAUAAGCUUGAAGUCCCAGUGCUUUCUUUAGUUGUUGAACCACUUGAAAACCUAGAUGCAUAUAACUUUGCAUUACUUCUAUACAAGGUAUACAAAUUGCACAUGCAAACAGAAAUUAUUUAAUUUACUUGUAGUCUUCUUUGCAAUAGAAGUUUUUGAAUAGCAAAACUCAUGGAACCCAAGAUGCAUAAAAAGAUGCAAUUGCUUAAUAUUCUUGCAUUUGGACAUCACAAAGUUUACUGUAUCAAUAUUUCUUAAUAUUUAACAUUUUCUUCUAAUAUAAGGUCCAGAUUCCCCAAACAUCUUUUAUGAAUGAUUCCCAUGCAUGUCAGUUAGCACCUGAAAUGACCUCUAUUGCAUCAAGAAAAGAAAAGCUUCCAAAAAUAACAAUAAUGACACCUUUUAAUCAUCCCUACUGAGACAGACCAUAGUUGUGCUGCUUAUUUGCACAUACUGUAAACAAAUAUUUAUACAUAAUUACAACAUGCAGAGUUCUAUGUAGAAGUUAAUCUCAUAUAAAUAAAAAGGACUACACACUUCCUCAUCAUUUUAUAUGUUGAAGUUUAAUUCAAACAUGGAAUUGCAGUCGCAUAUAAUCAUCACUUAGAUAUAUUCAACACCAUUAUGAAUGCCUUUAAUUGAUUUUGAAACAUUAUAUUAAGAAUAUGAGUGCAUAUUAUCCAUAUUACUACCAAAAUACAUUCCAAAGAAUGAUUUUUACUCUUCUAACCAGAGCAUCAUCAACAAUCCAAAUUAUCUGGAUUGAUCUUACAAAGUAGACCAUCCAAGGCCCCAAUAUAAAAGACACAUCUAAAUUGCUUUGACUACAACCAUGGAUAAGGGUAAGCUUUCUAUUAAAGUUAAUUAUCAUCUUCAGCAUAAUGAAUAUACCAUAUUUACCCUAAAUUUUUAUCUGAUGACCAAAGAUCAAUAGUGAACUUCAUAUAAGAAGUCAAAGUUCUUCAAAAUGCUAUGAAACUUUCUCCUCUCCUACUGAUAAAGACAAGAGAAUCAUUUCUAGUAGAAUUAUAUGAUAUGCCUUAAAACAAUGAUAGGAAAAAUUUCAAUGAAUUCAAAAAACUCCAGAUGUUACAUGAUCCAGAAUUGAAGUGAAUUGUAGAUCAAGAACUUCAUCAAACUUGUAGAUUUAUUCUUGACUGAACCAAGACACAAGGUACCCUCCACAGAUUGAAAAUGUCAACCUCACCAAUUUGUGUAGCACACUAGUCCAAAUGGUUAGGACAUGUGAUGAGUAUGACCAUCUGUCCCUGCUUUGUUGCUACCAAGAAAAUAUUUUUGCGGUAUCUAUAGGUCAUGUUGACACUAUCGAGUCUUUUCUCAAUAGUAUAAUCAUCCCAAACUUACCGCCAAUUUUUAAACUGUUGUUCAUCAACAAUUACUCCACACUUUUAUUUGUAUGAUCCCUAACACUAGUGCCAUAUUAUGACUAAUUUAACUCACCACAAAAGUAUAAACUUAAAUUGGUGACUAUGCAGAAUACAUACCAAUAAGUUUGAUUUUAACUCCACAUGCAAACAAUAAUACAGAUAAAAAGUCACUAGUUUGUUUUAAAUAAAAAGCAUGCAAAGACUCCUUUCAAAGUUCUACAAGAAUAUUAUUUAUAAGAAAAAAAGAGAAUGUUUAAAAAAACUUUCUAAAAAAACUACAUAUUUCAUAUCAAAAAACAGAUAGAUAAAUGAAAAUGGAGGAAAAAAAUGUGUACCCCAUAUGCAAUUAUUGGCUUAGUCAUGCCAAGGAUUAAAAUACCAACCAUGCCAUGCUAUGCCAACAGGGUGCUGUCACUAGGCAUGCACUGCCAUCAUCUGUUCUGUAUUGUAUGGUAUGAAUCCAUGCAAGGCCGUAUCAAGUUGUUCAUAACAGCUUUGGUUAUAUCAAAACAAGUUUUGUAAACAAAAGUUCUUUGUUUUGGCAUGGUGCACUUGUUUGCAUAACACAGCAUGCAACCAACACAUACCAUGCUGGCCACUAGCUGACACACCCAUCAGCACUAGCACUUGAAUCCUUUGAAUUCUGAGCAAAAUUUGUAGAAUAAAAACUGCACAAAAAUCACUUUCCAUUUCUCAUUCUUUUCAUCUCUUAUUUCCAAUAGUAUGAUUUCUGCAAAAAAAUUUCCUGUCCUUCUGUUUCUCAUUUUUCCAUGAUAUAUUGUUUCCCAAGAUGUAUUUUGAUGUCGUAGAAAGUAGAAUCCUAAAAUAAAGUUCCACCUUUGAAUUUAAUUAUUAAAAACUACAGUGGCAUGAAUUGUUGACGUUUAAAUAGGCUACCAUCAACAUAUUACUAGUAACAUGUGGGUUAAUUUAGUAAUUUUAUAUGUUAAGACAUGCUAAAUGCAGAAACGGGACAAGGUCCAAUGCCUUAAUGUUGUGCUUAGGCGAAAAAUAUGUAAAAUCCUUAGGUUGGGUUAAGCCUGAAAAAUAGGGCAAAGUACAUCAAAGAUUCAUACCCUCACUGCCACGACGCCGUAGUUGUUGCCACUCCUAGCACCCCCACCAUCACAAUCACCACAGUGAUCAUUAUCUGCUUCCACCACCAACAUGACCAUUGUAGCUGUUGCCACAGUGCCCAAAACCAUCAUUAAUCCGUAGAGACCAUGCCAUAGCGACAGUCACUAUCCUUAUCACCACUACGACCUUGACUGCUCCACUUCAACUACAGUCAUCACAGAUAUCAUUGUUGUUCUUCAACUACAGUCAUCACAGAUAUCAUUGUUGCUCUCUCUCUCUCUCUCUCUCUCUAUGUUGGAUUCAACCAAAAAAAUAGAAAAUCCAGAAACUCAUUUUCCCCUGCGUUCCUGUUCAUUUUACUCUAGACAGAUUUUUCUUUGCACCUUUCUCUGCAACAAGAAACAACCUUAAAUCUUAUAAUAACUCAACUACCAGGCUAAAACCUACUUUCAUUAGGAAUAGAUUCUCUCAGAUAACAGUUCAUACAUUACCCAUCAUACCAAACCAAGUCGUUAGGUCAAGAACCCUAAACAAAUUCAAGACUAACUUUAAGAAGGAAUGGAACAACACCAUCACAUAACACUUACCAUUCCCCUAUUCCUUUUGCUAUUACUCACACUUUGUCCCCCAAAAAAAAACACUUGCAAAAUGGAGGCCAAAUAACUGCAAUCGCGAUCCAAUUGGACUUCUUAUGCGACUCCGAGCUCAUAAGCAAAUCCCAAAUCCCUCUCAAUUUAAGCAACAUUCUAGUUACGAUAUUAAACAAAAUUAUAUUUGGCACCCCAACCGCAAAACUCAGUAUUUAUUCAAAAAACACAAAAAGAAAGAUAAUGCGGGCGAUCCAAGAAGAAGAAUUCAAUCAGAAUUAUGCGAUAAAAGUGGAAGGGAUUAGGUGAGAAUGGGAAAUGCACCUUCAAUGCCAGAAUGGAAGAUUCCAAGGCCGAACCAGUAGAGAUAGUUGUUGAUUGGGGUGAGAUCGUAGACAUUAAGGUAGAUAUGGGUCCGAUUGCUGCUGCUGCUUCCGCCAUUGGCCUGAUCCCUCAAGGAAGAAGAGGAGCUCGACAAAAGCGAACGCAUGGUGGUGGGAUUCUUCGGAAAUCGAAAGCUUUCCCUAUAAUUCCGAACCCAAAGCCGAUAGAAGCAUCUUAGGAAACCAAUUCGAGGCGAAAUCUAAGAUUUUAGUGGGGGGUGGGCGAGGACGAGCCGCAUUCCGAAAGGGAAACCCUAGAAUUUGGAGAAUUUUCCCAAAACCUGGGACCGGUGGUGGCUUUCUUUUGUUACGACGACGCGUGAACGAGAGAAAUUACCCCUCUAAAGCAACAAUCUUAUAUUUAAUGAAUAAUUUUUACUCCCAUACUACUUGAUUUUCCCUAAAAAAGAAUAAUAUUUGAUUAUAUCACGAAACAUAGUCAUAUCCAAAAAUUAAUUGGAUAAAAAUUCAUGUUAAAAUCUUUUUUACUAAUGGUAUAAGAUUAUGUUUUUAUGAAUUGCCCGAUGAUAAAUGAACAUGUUCACGUGCACAUGAUAAAUGAACAUGCUCUCAUACACAAUUUUAUUAGUACAACUCUCAACUUAAGGAUUUUCUAUGCGGACAUAUAUGUUUAAUGCAAAUCUGAUAUACUUUNNNNNNNNNNNNNNNNNNNNNNNNNNNNNNNNNNNNNNNNNNNNNNNNNNNNNNNNNNNNNNNNNNNNNNNNNNNNNNNNNNNNNNNNNNNNNNNNNNNNNNNNNNNNNNNNNNNNNNNNNNNNNNNNNNNNNNNNNNNNNNNNNNNNNNNNNNNNNNNNNNNNNNNNNNNNNNNNNNNNNNNNNNNNNNNNNNNNNNNNNNNNNNNNNNNNNNNNNNNNNNNNNNNNNNNNGCUUAGUUUGCUAGUGCUUUGGCUAUUUGGCAGUACGGAUACAAAUGAGUUAGGUUGAUCCGUAAUCCGACCCAAUUAAAUUCAAUUCGAUCCAUUUUAUAGGACUCGUGAGACCAUGUUGGAUUCUAAAAUUGGACCCAUUCCAUUUUCAGUGUUGGAACUAGAUUUUCUGGAUUCUGGCCCGAUCCAAUCCGACCUAAUCCGUUUGAAAUUUAGAUAAUUUUGGCUUUCCAACCCUAUGACCUAUUGAAAGCAAAACUUCAUGGUACUCAUGGACACUCGUAUCGUUGUUGUUAUCACUGUCGCCUACCUUUCUUUUCUUCUCUAGACUUUCAGUUUGGAGUGCGUCUGGAAUCGUUGCCAUAUGUCGAAAUGGCCAAGGAAGAUCACAUGUCAAGGCACAGCGUAGUGUUGGAGUGUCCAGGACUCUCCUUUGAUGAACCGAACCCGAACAAACAAACCCAACCCGGACCCAAACUAGACCCAAAUUUUUUUGAGUUGGAAUUGAAUUAUAUAUGGACUCAAUCCGUCCCAAAUAACAAGACAGGCUAAAAAUUGUAGUCGUGAACUCGACCCAACCCGAUCUUUUAUUGGGUUAAAUCUAAGUUUAAAAUUUAGACCCGAACAAGAAACCGAAUUGAGUCAAGAUCACUCAUAAUCCAAUUCGACCUGGCCUAUUUGCACCUGGCAGUGAACUUUUUUUCGUCCAAUAAUUUAAUAGAGUUGAAGGCUGAUAUGUCCUUUGGAGGUCUCUCUAUUUCUUAAAAAAUGAUUUAACAGAAUAUCUCACAAAAGGAUGUGAUUUUUUUUUCCGCCCAAAACCAUUCAGCUUGGACCUCUGUGGCAAUAGAGAAUGGGAAACUAUUGAAACAUAAAAUGGAACCCGCAGCCCGGAAACCACAUUGGCAGGAACAUCAGCAACUCCAUUAGCUUGGCGGAAGAUAUAAGAAGAUUUGAUUUGAAGUCCGGAUGGUCUGAAGUGCCAGGAAAUCCUUUAGGUAAGGAGGAUGAAGACGGUUAUGCUUGGCCACCCAAGAGACCACAGUAGAGGAAUUCUUGCUAAGCAUUGUUCAGUGUGAAUAGCAGCAGUCCAAGCCGGAGUGAGUUCAUCAUGGGGCACUGAUGUAGUUUUAAGAGGCAUAGUACCGGCAGAAAGCAAUCUCCCUUUAUGAUCUGCACACAUCCCGCACCAGAGGAGUCUUUAACAGAGCCAUCAAAAUAGACUUUAAGCUGACCCUGGAGAGGGGGAACCCAAUGGACAUGGAGAGAGGAAAUACAGGUACCAGAGUCAGGUACCUGAUUAAAAUCCCAAACCCGGAGGCUGUUGAAGGCUUUGAUCAUAUUCAAUGGAAUACCGUGACAGGUAAAAUUCCUCAGCUAACAUGACAUCAGUGAUCAAUAUCUGAUUAGAAGUAUGGUUUGAAUUCUGAAAUAUCCCAUGGCUGCAAUCCUUCUGAACAUGGCACAGGCUGCAGCAUAACAUUGUUUUGAGUCUCACCUGUUCAGCAAACAUAGAUUACGGCAUUAAGAUCUGCAUAACUAUGGAUUGAAAACCCUAGUAAAAACGCAAUUUGGCUUUAGAUUGUUUUACAAAGAUGGUGGAUAAGUAUAAUUUAUUUUUCGACAGGUAAUUGGCUUCCAAUGAUUGAAAGGAAGUGGAGGCUCUCGGGUUAGACUGGUUGAACUCCAAUAUAUUGCCACAUCAAUUGAAUGAAUUUCUGGAACAAAAGACUGGACCCCAGCAGACAUUGCUCAUCAUAAUUUUAGUGGCUUAGAUGUAACUGACUACAACAUUUACCCACAACAACAGUUGUUGCAUUUGAAGCGGGCAGAUAACAUUGACAUGAAGCACACCAGUUCACAAUGUUCCAUCCGAAGAAAGCAGAAUCCACAAACCACAGGCUUCAGAUUAGCUUUACAUUAACUGUUUCUUUAUACUCCUCUUACACACAUCAGCAAUGCAUUUGGCUACAACUCUGAAUGGUCCCAUGCGUCAAACUUUUAGAAAUGGAUUUUUCCUUCCAGCUGUACUGUCAAUGAUAAGUCAUAACUCUGUCUAUCCUAUGAAGACACCUUAAUUUUCGACAGAGGCAACAUUCUGGACCUCAUUGUAUGCACCAGUUUGCUCAUCAAAAGAAUACCUGCAUGAAAAGUGGCCAUUUAUAUUUAAUCAGAUACCAUCCUCCAUUCAUGCACAAGUACGAAUUCUAUCUCGUUGUUACCAAGGUUUAUACAUGCAUAUAGUAGUAGUGCUUCUUGCAUCAACAAAAAAGCUCCAAAAUAAUGGUGGAAAAACACGUUACCAGUGUAACCAACCUUCAAAAUUAUCAGAAACUAAAGCCAGAAAUCUUAUGUUGUAACCAAAAAUAUAUCUUUAGUACAUUCAUACCUAACAGUCACCAGAAUUCCUAUUCCCAUGCCACAUAACAGUGCAACAACUAAUAUUGCUUCUCCUGCUUAGAACCCAACCCAAACAUUGAAAUAGUCAUCUGACAAGUAGCAGAGGAAAUGAGAUUCUACACCCUCACCUUGGAAAUUAUCAGAAACUAAAGCUGGAAAUCUAAUGUUGUAACCAAACACAUAUCUUCAGUAUAUUCAUACUUAUCAGGGACCAGAAUUCCUAGUCCCCUAUCACAUAAGAGUGCAACAAGGAAAAGUAAAAUUGCUUCUCCUGCUUACAAACCCAGCCGAAACAAUGAAAUGGUUAUCUCACAAGCAGCAGAAGAAAUGAGAUUCUACACCUGAGGGUUCAUAAAUGCUACCAUAGAUUGGGCAAAUGUUACAAAACCAGUCAUCAAAAUUAUGCAAAUCAACUGUAGAACAUUUAUCAAGAAAAAUUCAAUGGUAAAAGGAUCACUAUACCAACCUAUUCAAUAUCAAGAAUCUAGAGAUCACUGCUUUCAUAAAAAAGUAACACAUACAAGGUACUCAACCCUCCCUGGUAGUAGUGAAGUGUUAUCUAUGCUGCAUACUACUUCCUCAAUAAAAAAGACAAAAAAUGAAAACAAAAUAUUUAAUCAAACCAAACAUUAGAAAAACCAAGCUUCCAAUGUUUCCAUCUGCAGAAAACUUAUUGAUAACACAUUAGUAAAAGUUCACAUUGUAAAUACUUACACAUUCAUCCGUAAUAAAAGAACUAUCAAAAGAAUGCCUUCCCACAACAUGCCCUCACUCCAAUGAAAUAAAUAUACAAUAACAACUACAGAGAGAGAGAGAGAAUCUUCACUUCACAUUACCAGGUUAGUCAUUGACUUUGCCUUCAUAGGUCUAAAAAAAGAAAACAAACAAAGAAAGAAAGAACGAAAGAAAGAAAGAAAGAAAACACCAAAGUCUACUUUGUUCAUCACAUUUCUCAAAUUCAUAGAACUAAUUGGCAGCUGUCAAACAUAUUCCUCACUUUGAAAACUCUAAAUAAUAACCAUAAAUUAUAAAAUGAAACUCAUCUGCUCUUGCAGCACAAAGCCCCUCCUUCCUUCCUUCGAAAUUCUAAAGUAGAAAACUAUCCACCACCACAUCAAAACACCUGACCAGAAUAGUCUGAUCCCCCAAUCAAUACACAAAGUGAAACCAUCAUACAGAAGAACAUCUUUGGAAGGAGGAUGAUAUGACCUUAAGUUUUACAAAUUUACAAGCAAACUCUGCCAUUAUCAUCUCUAGCUAAUCAUUGAGGUCAGACUUUUUGCUUCCACAUUACUCCCAAUACACACCAUCAUUUAUACCACAUUUUCCACUGAUGGAAAGUACUCAUCUUUGAAUUGGAAACAGUGUCUUGACAAUUUUCCUUCAUGCAGGAAUACAUGCCCAACAUGUUUUCACCUUAAUGUACAUUAACAUCCCUACAAUAUUUAUUUCCUCUAACUUUUAUCCAUCACAAGCCUCCUCUGGUAGACAUGAGACCACCGGAUGCAGCAUUCUCUUGCUGACGAAAACAAAUCAACCCCAAAUUGGCAAACUAUUUCUUUUUUCACUCAAAAAAGAAAAGGUUGACAAUCUUCUUACCUUACACAAGAUUGAAUCUCCUACAAUCGUUACAAGGCAACUUGUAUAGCUCUUCCAAAGGAUGUAAAUCACAUUAACCAAAACAGCAAAAACUCCUGAUAUCUUGUAACAUCAAUUCUUUGUAGGGGUUCCCAGAGGAUAAGAAGCACCUUUAAUUAUUGAAAAUUUUUGUGUCUUGCCCUCAUUUAAGAAAUUCAAUUAUGUAAGGAUCCAUAAGAAGAGCAAGAAAUGUUCCAUAUCAAUGAUAAGAAUAACCGAUUACCAGUACCACAAAUAUAUUAGCUUCAUUGCUGAAGACUAUCUUGUAUCCAGAGGGGCCUUAAGUUUUGGGGAUGCCAAACAUUUGGUUCUGGUAACAAAAGGUUAUCAAAUAAAAACAUCUCCCUCUCAAAAAACCAAAUACGAUCAAGGAAUGCAAGAUUCAGGCACGUGACUAAAAAUCAUUUGAGAUAUACCUUCAGAUCUGAACAUGUUAUAGGACAAUAGUUUUAACAACAUUCAAUUCAAACCUAGAAUCAAGUGUGGAUUCUAAUAAAUAUUUUUUCUCAUUUAAAUUUUGGAUAUGAAAAUAUGAUAAUAAAAAUUAAAAUAUUCCCCUAAUAUCUGGUCGGAUUUUCAUAGAAUAUAGAUAUAGAACUAGUAAUGACUUGAAUUCAAUUAUGGAAUUUAGAUAUAAUUGGACUUCAGACCUAGACAUUGGCCUCUGACCAAACGCUGAUAAUCCUACUUAUCAGUUCCAAAAUCACUUCUAAAAUAUGUUUUAGAUCUAUCAGCAUGUAUAAUUCCAUCUCUUUCCUCCACAACAGAAUCUUCGUUAUGUGUUUCUAGAUUUAUCUGAUUCAAACAACAGACACGUGAAUUCUAUGGUGGCAAUUACAUUAGAAACUGGAUGUUCAGUAGCAACGUCUUUGCCUAGAAAAUCCUACUUUACUAUAUGACGCUUGUUCCCUGCUCAUUCUUUCACUCUAUAUUAUUGUUUCAGUGAUGAAUAUCCUCUCAGCUCUGAACAUUUACUUCUUAAGCUUUAUCCUUACCCUGAAACCUAGAAUGUGAUAGUUUAAUCUUGGAUAUCUAGCAAUAUCCUGUACUCCACCACAAUAGAUAAAAAUCGUAUGUGCUACGAGUUCUAAUCUCAAACCAGAUGAUGUGAUCUAAUGAUGCACACUAGAUAUAUAUGGUACCCUGAUGGAAGAUGUGGUGCCUUCGGUGGAAAAGGAUUCGGAGGCAAUUCUUAUGUUUAUUGAGGGAAAUUCACUGAUAGUUUGGUUGGAAAAGUAAGUGCUGAGCAAAGAACACAGAAUUUGGGAAGGGGAGUUUCACUUUUGAAUUACUUGAGUUAGCAAGGGUGGAUGUACAAAGGAUUUGACCUAAAAUCCGUACGGUCUGCCUUCUCCCUUAAGCACAUGCACUCCUGCACACACAAAAAAAAAGGGUCUAAAGUACCUUUAAUUUCUAAGAACAUGGUAAUUUUUGCAAUCAUAAUAUGUCACAUGCCCGCUAAAAUGUUGAGGAAGAUUCCGAUGGCAAUUUCAAACUUGUGGAGACCCAGGAAGUUAAUGCAAUUCCAGAGUCAAGGAAGUUUGCGAUCAUAAGUAUGUUAGAUACCUGCUAAAAAGUCAAGGAAUUCCAAUGGGAAUGUCAAAACAUUGAGGAGAUCCAGGAAGUUAAUGCGAUCUCAAACUAAUAUGAAGUCUCAAAACAACUACACUUGCAAACGCACUCUACACAUGUUCUGACAUAACAACAUAUAAUAUCAGAACCAUCAUCAGCAAUUCAGGAUUCCAGUCAACCAGAUCUAUAGCAUAAGUUGAUCAGGCAGCUAUAUGCCAAGGAUUACUUAGUUAAAAGCUUAUUCUUAUGCCCAAGAACAUCUGCAGCAGCCCCAAUGGACUUCACCACUGCAUCUUGUAGGAUUCAUCCAACUCAUAGGCAUCGGAUACAGUUGAAACAACUGCAAUCAAUAAUUCCUCUUCACUAUUAUUGCAAAGAAAGAGCUUGACUUUAAUUUACAACAAAAUAAACAGCUAAUAUUAAUUUCUCACACCCACAUGCAAUUGAUAAUCAAUUUGAAAACUACCAAAGGCUAGCAAGCAAGGCUACUAGUGAACCCAUAAAAUAAGCCUGAAAAGAUAAGAUAAGAGGUGAAAUAUCAUUACCAUGUUCCUGAUGCAGCACAGCAAUACAGUCCUGAUGCAGGGUCAUAAUAAUAGCCCAAGCUGCUGCUAUAGUAAUAGCUGAGGUAAACAAGAACAGUAAUUUUUUAAUUCAGUCCAAUAGCACCAUGCUAACAGAAAAUGUGUAUCCAUAACUACAAGCACAAGGUAAGAGGAUUAUUGCAAACACACAAUACACUCACACACAACAUGAAGUUGCAGCUUUUUAGAUGUCAACCAGCAUAACACGAUGAAAUAGUUCAUAGUAACCCAAGAAACAUAGCAGCUCUAAGAUUCCUAGUAAACUGCAUAAAAUGUUGAUUCUGCUAGCACAAGACCAUGGUUUGAAACUACAUAAAGAGAUAAUUAGUUAAAAUAAUUAAUAUCUUUCUCGACUCUAAGAACUGAACAGGUAUAGACCAGCAUUACCUGGACACAGACAAGAAUAGGAUUCAGACACAUCCAAGUGUCUGAUUUGGUAAAUAGGAAAAAGGAAACAAUGUAAGACAUUGGUAAAAGCAAGGUUCGCUGUACCGGUCGGUACCGGUCGGUACCGAGCGUACCGUACCUGUACCGAUGGAUACCGGUAUCGGUACACCAAUAUCGGUACGGUCGGUACCGAGCGCACCGUACCGUACCGACACUCGGUAUGCCUCUACUAGUGUGGCACCGGUACGGGGUUCGGUACCGGUACGGCGAACCUUGGGUACAAGAAUUUUCAGCAAAAUUAUAUUCAUUCAAUAUCUUUAAAAUAUUGUAUAGUUGAAAACUAUAAAAAAUAUUAAAAGAUAUCGUCCUUUUUUUAAAAAUAAUACAUUGUACAAGUAUUUCAUUCAAAUUCCAAAAUUAGCUCAAGAAUACAAAAAAACAUACAACUCGCAAAGUUAUUCAACACUUACACCCUCAACCAUAUUUUAGAAACAACAAAAGCUUACCCUCCACAUGAUUAUGGUUGGUCAAACUCACUGUCAGAAAGGGUAACUCUCUCUUGAUCUCAAAGAAUGUAACCAAAGAAUUAGUUAAGUACCUAAGACUCUGACACAAUGAUUCAAGUACUUGUGCAUACCAGUCCAUACCAGUUAUAUUGGAAAAUUUAACUCAUUUUUUGUCGUGCCAAUAAAUGGAGAAAUACCAUGGUACAACAAAAUCGUACUUCAUAGUAAGGUGCCGAUACUCUAAACCUUUCUUAGACAUGCAUCCAAUUUAUGCAUAUGUAUUCAACACAAAAUCUUCAAGGUGAAUGCCAAGAGUUUAUAUAACAAGGGACGAGUAAUGAAAGCCCAAAAUGUGUGGAUAAGUUGCUCCUAACAUGCUCAUGAAGCAUGGAAAUGGAAACAAGAUAUAAACAAAACAUAAUCAAAAAAAAAAAAACUACCUAUAUGGCAAAUCUUAAAAAGAUGGGACAUAGAUGAAGUCGUAACAUGCAUUCACAUGUGCUUUUUCUUUUUCCUUCGUUCUUUUUAGAGAGGCAGAAGAGCUUCGUUUGACUGCCACUAAUUCCCACUCAAGGCCCAUAAAUUGUUUGUCAAAUUGUUACUCACUGGUUUGACUAUAUAUAUGCAUUUGCGCUUGGUUUACACUUAUCCUUGUUUUUACAAAGUCUAGAGUCUAUAAAUUAAAAUUCUACUUAAACUAAAGAUCAGUUGUAAUAAUUUUUGUUCUAUGGGCCCUGGUCAUUAAAUUGCAGCCCAACAAUAUGUAGGCAAUUAGUUUCUCACAAGGUUCAUUGAACCAGUAUCAUGACCCGCACCCGUCGGCGACCUGUACGGUAUGGUACAGGUCCACAUCGUGUCAUGCCGGAGUGUGCUGAAACACGGAGGGAGAGAGAGUGGGAGGGUGUGAACAAGGAGAGAGAGCAAGAGACUCACUAGAUGAGGGCUUCAACAGGGAUGAGUAACAAGGGCUUACAUGAAGAGGAGGAGAGGGAGAAGGAGAGGAAGGGAGGGAUGGAAGGAGGAAGGGAUUAUACUCUAGCCCUAGCGGAGCAAGAGAAAGGGGGGGAGACUUACCGGUGACGNNNNNNNNNNNNNNNNNNNNNNNNNNNNNNNNNNNNNNNNNNNNNNNNNNNNNNNNNNNNNNNNNNNNNNNNNNNNNNNNNNNNNNNNNNNNNNNNNNNNNNNNNNNNNNNNNNNNNNNNNNNNNNNNNNNNNNNNNNNNNNNNNNNNNNNNNNNNNNNNNNNNNNNNNNNNNNNNNNNNNNNNNNNNNNNNNNNNNNNNNNNNNNNNNNNNNNNNNNNNNNNNNNNNNNNNNNNNNNNNNNNNNNNNNNNNNNNNNNNNNNNNNNNNNNNNNNNNNNNNNNNNNNNNNNNNNNNNNNNNNNNNNNNNNNNNNNNNNNNNNNNNNNNNNNNNNNNNNNNNNNNNNNNNNNNNNNNNNNNNNNNNNNNNNNNNNNNNNNNNNNNNNNNNNNNNNNNNNNNNNNNNNNNNNNNNNNNNNNNNNNNNNNNNNNNNNNNNNNNNNNNNNNNNNNNNNNNNNNNNNNNNNNNNNNNNNNNNNNNNNNNNNNNNNNNNNNNNNNNNNNNNNNNNNNNNNNNNNNNNNNNNNNNNNNNNNNNNNNNNNNNNNNNNNNNNNNNNNNNNNNNNNNNNNNNNNNNNNNNNNNNNNNNNNNNNNNNNNNNNNNNNNNNNNNNNNNUCUCUCUCUCUCUCUCUCUCUCUCUCUCUCUCUCUCUCUAUAUAUAUAUAUAUAUAUAUAUAUAUAUAUAUAUAUACAUACAUAUAUAUGCAUAUAUGCAUGUAUGCAUGUAUGUAUAUGUAUAUGGAUAUAUACAUGUAUAUGUAUAAACAUAUAUGUAUGUAUGUAAACCAUGUUGCAUAUGACAAACAUAAACUUCUAUACAACUUAUUAGACAUUCUCUAAUAGCAAUUCAUGACAGCUAGGAUCACAUGAGCAUAUCUCUAAUUUAUUCAUCAAGAAAGAAACCAUCAUUUCAUACCAAAAGUUCAAACUUACAAAGAUGCAGGAAGAAAUGAUGCAAACAUGUUAAGAUGUUUAGAUCACCCAUCCUACUCAUAGUACUAUUUUUUUAAAUAUAGAAACAUAGAAAAUGUAUCCAGCAUAUAAUUCAUGGAAUCUGAGGUGUAUUUACGUAUGAUACAUGGAUACUUCCAUUAGGGGUGUAAUUGAGCAGAGUUUGAUCGAGCCUGGGUCUAAUCAAGAUUGGGGUGAAAUUAAUUUUGAGCUAGAAAGCUGAGACCAAGUUCAAUUUGUUUACCACUAUUUCGAGCCCAAUUCGAGCUUAAUUUCGAAUUGAGCCAAAGAAAAGCCUAAUUGAUCAGCUUGAAAAUCCUAAAAUCGAAUCAGAAAUCAAUUCAAGCUUGAACUAAGCUUGGCCUGGACUAGAAGCUUGAUUUUGACGAUGCCUAUCUUCUUCUUGGAAGUACUUCCCUCGUUAUACAAUGGCUCCCCAUUCAAGGCUGAAUUAAAGCUUAAUUCAAUCUUGGUUCAAAUCUGAAUAACAUUUAAUAAUAAAAAUGAAUUAAAUGUUCAAGCUUGAAAUGACUCUAAUAUUGUAGACCAUUGGACCCAAGAUCCAACAACCACUAUACACAUACACAACCGUUCAAGCUUGAAUUAAAGCUUGAUUCAAGCUCGGUUCAAAUCUAAAUUAACAUUUGAUGGAUUUCAAAAUUAAAUAAACACUCAAGCUUGAAAUGACCCUAAUAUUGUAGGCCUUUGGACCUAAAAUCCAAUGACCACUAAAUACAUAUAUUUCAAGUCCACAUAAGCUAGACCUAUUCAGCCAGAGUCUCUUUUGGCUCGGCUUGAAAUUCAUUUUAAGCCUAGAUGCUGGUUCAAGCUUGGUUUAUGUAGCUUCAAGCUGAGCCUGAACUAAGCUUUUUCCAAGCUGAGCCCGAGCCAAGCUUGACCUAUUCAGAUCACUUGUCACCCAUAUCUCCUCAAAGGCGCUAUUAGAGCUUUAGAGUAACACAUGUUUUUCAUAAAUUGAUCCUAAGAUCCAUGGUCCCAACCAAAUGCUCGUCAAAGGAAACCUUACAACCAUCUCUACUUGCAGCAGGUCAUAGAAGUUUUUUCAAAAGAACAUUAGAUUGAUUUUCUUCAAAAUAUUACAAAUGCAAUGCAGUGAGCUUCUUAAAAUUCAGUCAACAUAAGUCCAUUUGUGACAACCAAGUACAUAAACUAAAAGGCUAUCCCAUUAAAGUGUACGUACUCAUAUAAGAUGCUCUUCAAUAGAAUAUACGCAUGAGACUCAUAUUCAAAUGUCAGAGCAUAAAAAUUUCUUCAGAUAUGUUUUAGAUUCCAAAUUCUCAGUUAGUAUUUUUCUAGAAUCAUGCAUAAUAAAGAAUGUUCAAAUACAGCUACACAUGAGGAUGUUAGUCUGAUUCAAUCAAUGGAGAAAACAUUUGUUAGGGAUGAAACAAUGCUUCUUGCAACAAUUAACUUGACAUCACCUCAGCACGUGAUAAGUAGCAUGGCCUUUCAUAUUCUAUAUUUGAAUAAAACAACUUUGUCAUGAAUGUAAAACAACCUUUGGGAGGUGGACUUUGCCUUUCGCUUAGCCAAUUCUAAUGGCCCUUCAUACAUUAUAUAUUUCUUCUUUUCAAUUGUCAGGAUCCAACAGUAAUCUUCUGCAUUCUUUAAUUUUAGUCUUCUACAUUACAGUGAUUUCCAGACAGAGGUAUUUCUAUUUAAUCAUGAGAGUAUUACCUGCAUUCUUUAAACUGUAACUUCUACAUUAUACUGAUUGCUACACAAAAGUAUCUUUUAUUGAAUCAACAGAACAUACUUAGUAAUAAAAUUUGAAUUAAGAAUCCCAUAAGAGAACAGUGGAUGGAUCAAUUACUCACCCAGAUGAUGGAUCAUAUACAUAAUCUGACCUCAGUCCUCCAUCAGCAGCUUCUACAGAAUCAGACAAAAUUCAAUUAAGAAUCAUCCAAUGGAAAUUAACUGUUUUACUCAAAGUAGAUGAAAGCCAGACAAGAAAUUAUCAGUAACCAGUUUAACUCCUUCUUGGCAAGAAAUUACCUGCAGAAUCUAAGUCAUUUGAAUCUAAGCUUCCAGAAGUGGGUUGAAGAACUGGUUCAGAAGUAGAACCUGAACCCACAGCACUGCCAUCAAACCGAAGAUUUUCAUCACCAUUCUCAUCAUCGUCCGCAAACAUGUCAAAUUUGUCACCGGCAUCAUUAGAUGAGACUAGUAGAGUAGAGGCAUUUGCUUCAGAAGGACCAGGCUCCAUGUCCCAUAUCAAAGAAUUGUGUGUUGCAUGUCCCAUACCAUCCGAAAAAAUAUCUUCCCUGUUCUUGGCAUCAGAAUUUCCAAUAUCUGCGCUUUCUAAAGUACCAUUCUUUGCACGAGCUACGCGCUCAUAUCCUUCUGAAGCAAGAGAAAUGAAGGCACAGUUGCAACAAAAGACGAGAACAAUGCAUCUUCUAACAAUGAAAAAGCCUCCUGUUUAGCCCUAAUGCUUAUGUAAGGCAACACCCCUUGGGAUAUUCAUCAUAAAAAUCACCAAGGAUACAACAUGGCCAAGCCAGUGAUCUGAACUACAACUUUUCAAAGAUUCCAAGAAGAAUAGCCAUCUAACAUGGUCAGGACUACAUCAUUAACAAAUGCAUAAAAAGUAAUAGAACUGACUAUAAAUGAUACUGACGGAAACUAAAGAAACCAGCAAAUGAAGAGAAUCAAAUUACAACAAAUAAUGAUAAACCUGAAAAUAUCAUUUAAUCUUAACAAUAUAACUCAUGUUUUUGGUAAAGUUCUAUAAGUGUGACACAUCACAAAGGAUCUGCCACAGAAGAGGCAUGAAUACUGCAACACACGGAAUAAACUAUCAGCAAAUCAAUCAAUCACAAUUUGUCUUAGUAAGUUCUGUACGUAACUAACCUUCUCUCAUAUAGAUUUCUCAUAAGCUACAAUUUAUUAGCUAGGAGUUAGUAACAUAGUUUCCGAACGUGUUUCAUAUGCAAAAGAAUUUCUCUUGAAGACUGUUGGGAAAACAGUUAGAUUUUUUAAAAAGAUGAUAAAAGAAGCAUCACACGGAUAGCAUUCCCAAUAGUUACCUAUUAGUUUUCUCAUGACUUUUGAGCAUUACCAUAUGCCUUUGUCAUGAAUUUUACUUUAGCAUUACUCAUUUCCCGAUUUGGACACUUGUUUCGUGCUACCCAUUUGCACAGUGUUUCCCAAGUUGUUUGAGAAGGUAGCAUUAAUGACCAGAGCUACCAGUAACAUUCUCAGCCAAGUAUAGUAGUUGCCGAAAUUUUGCAUAUGCAACAAAAUGAACUAUUUAUUAUUUUAUUUGGAAGGAACAGUUGAAGUACUUACCUUUUAGAAAAGUCAUAAACUCAUUCAGAACAAUGAUUGAUUGUUACGAACAGGGUAAGAAAGCAGCAUGCUUCUAACGUGACAUUUGUUCAGUGCUGGAGCAUCAUAGUCGCAAUGUUGCAAUGAUAGCACCAAUCUAAACUACAAUAUAGGAGUAGUAUCGAUGAAGAGGAUCCAUAGACUACUCUUUAUUAGCCAUGUCCCAUUAUCGAUCUGGCAAAGGAAGCACAUACUCAGGAAGAAGGAAUCAAAAUUCCUUUGAUGAUAAAGUUUGGAUUUGACAAAAAAUUAGACACUUUGGAAGGCAAUGAGCAAAGGCACAUGAAGUCAAACAGCAGGAACAGUUCAGGAUUGGACAGAGAGGAAGACUAGCUUUACAUUAAGACACGGAGCAUGAUAAAGGACAUGGGAGGGGGAAAAUACUGUGUAACAUAAUGAAGGUUGUGCCAUAGAAGCCUUAGUGAUCCAGUGAGACAAUACUAUUUAGAAUUCUCUUAAGGAACUUAUGCUAUUUACCUGGCAUUCAAGUAACUAAAUACUCUUGAGACUUGAAGCAUGAUAAGACUGGGGCUCAUGGUGGAAACUAUUUUUAUUGUUUAGUAAGGCUUUUGACGUACAUUAGAAAGGAAGGCCUCUACCACUUAAAAUGAAUGGCAUGGAUAAUGAAUUUUAGGAGUGCAAAAAUCAUCGUACCAGCUCAAGAGUAAGAGAGUUAUUAAUGUUGCAAGGAACCAAGAUAAAUUGGUAGCGAGGGGUGAUUAGGAGUUUAGCAAGGACAUUUAGUAGAUGAUUGUAAAAACAGCCUGACAUCCUCGAGCCAUUAGCAGAAUUAUGCAGUUAAAUAAGCUACUAAAUAGUUAAACAGUAAGAAAACCAUAUUCACAUUAAAAAUUAAAUUUUGUGCAAGAAAUACUAGAUGGAUGAAGGUUUCAUCUUUACCAAGCCAUUAGAGUCUCUUUGAGGUUCUAUCAUAGACCUACGUUCCAAUCCCCCUUCGGCAAGGUUUGAAGAGUUUAGGUUAUUUGGGCGAGGGAUACUCCCAGUUAUGUAGCCCAUUGCCUAUGCCCAAGGGUUCAAGAGAAUAUUAAACCUUUCGGACCAGAGUUGUGAAAAGGAUAAAGGUGACAUCUUGAUGAUAAUAAGAAAUGGAAGAAGGUUUUCAACCUACUCUUAGGACUUAGAAUUUUCUGGUUAUUGGUUUUUUUUGGUCUUGCAAUAUUUGUCGGUUAUUGGCUUUUAUUGGUCUUCCAAUAUCAAGUAGUGCGACAUAGGGCUUAGAAUUUUUUUCAUCAAAUAUAAUCAGGUUUACUCUUAUUUAUUAACAGGUGAGAAGAAAGAAAAGUAGAAGAUUAUAGAGUACAAAGGGAAAAAUAAGAUAAAAUAAGAACUAAAGAAAGAAUUAGAGAUUAGGACAAGAAAUCCAAACCUCGCCUUUUUUUCCCUCCUUCCUCAAUUAAAAUAAAUCAAAAAUCUUCACAGUUCAACAUUCCACAUGGAUUCUAUUUAUACAGAUAACUCCCUUCUUAUCUAUGAUGUCUCAGGAUUUUCUCAAUAUAAUUUUUCCCCGGAAUAGACCUCUAAUCAACCUGAACUCCAUCAUAUCCAAGGCUUUUCAAAUAAUAACCAAAUAAAUGCAAGAAAAAAACUAUUAUUCGGGAGACCAAAGAAGAAUAAAAACCACUUACACAUCUCCUAAAACCUCUCCUUAAAGACUUAAGAGCUAGAGAGCAACUAAGAUACUUAUGUUACAUCGAUGUUUUGAGCUGCUAGAUGAGACCCCAAAGUAACCCAAUUGCUUGCCACUUCUGAAAGCUGAGCCCAUUAUUGAUUUCAACAAGAAUUCUAGUGCUUCUGGAGUUUAUUCUAGCACCCACUGCAUUCUCCCUUAAACCUUAGAAGCUGAUCUUCAGCUAUUGCUGUAUCACAUACCUAUGGAAAGCCAUUCUUCUCAGCAAUUAAGUGGUUAUUUUAGUGUGUAUGAAUGAUAAUUUUUCAGUUAUCCAUGCCCUAAAAGAAUAGGCAUCAAACAAAUAACUAUCAAGUGUGUUGCAUAGAGCAUCAGAUCCUAUGCGUAUUCCAGUAAAUUGAAAGCUUACCAUGUAUCACACACAUUAGCAUUACAACUUUAUCACUAUUUUGUACAUCAAACAAUUUUGAGGGUGGGCCAUGGUGCAAUGCUAAGGUUUGCUCCAUUGUGACCUUUGUGGUGUCACAAGUACAAAACAUGGAACAACCUCUUCACAGGCGGAGAUAAGAAUGCAUACAUCUGACCCUCCCUAGGCCCAAUAGUGAUGGGAGCCCCCUAGGAUGCCCUUUUUCUGUACAUCAAACAAUUAAAAAGAGUGAACUGCCAUUAGAUGUAAAAGCAAAUAUUGCUUAGACAACCCAACACAACUUGGGCAUUUAACCAACCAUUAUUCAAUAAUAUUCAGGAACAUAGUUAAUUGAUUUUUUUUUAACCAAAAGGAUAGGUAGGCUUUGUUGGCUUUUAGCAUCGAGAAUUAUUUUCAAAUUCCUAAAGAACAUAAUUUAGAGAUCUCUCAUUGAUUAGAAGCAAAUUUACUAUUUAAAAAUCUGGGGCCCUAGCUUGACAAAGCUUGACUAUUAUGCCAUAACAACAAUUAGAAGCCAACCCUAGUGCCAACUUAGCCCUCUCUUAAUUUUCUAGGAAUUUAUCCAAAGGUUAUCGUCCUUUCUCUUUGUGAUAGCCUGAUUCGGGCCUGGUCCACUUGUCCAGCCCAGCCCAAAGUUGGCCCAGCCCAAGACCCCAGGACAAAAAAAGGCAACAAAUUGGAACAGGUGAUCGCGAUCCCUUGCCCGAACGGCCACCAUUAAGGUGCAGCAGGGGAAGUUGAAGCUGGCACGAAACCCUCAGGGCUAGUACUAACGACUAGCGACCGUUAGAGGUUGUUGCAACCGGUGCAUGCCCGACCGUUGCCAUCAUUCAACCGAGCUCAUCCCCUCUCCCGCGGCUUCUAUAUAAGCCCCUCCCCUUUGAUUGAUCCCUCACCACUCACCUCCUUCCUCUUUGGUGACCAGCGUGCCACCUCGAACAAGCACCGCCACCUGAAGCCCUCCAUUCUCCCUCUAGUUCGGGUACCCUAUUUGGAGAACCAUUCCUCCUCUCACCUGGUUCCGCCAGAAAAUGCCACGCUGACCGUGAGUCGCCAUCCGCGUCCCUCGCCAAUGAGUCCCCAUCCUCCGUCAAAGCUCCCUCGGGUUGUGUGGGCUGCCACUGAGGUAGCUGCAGGGCGAUGCCCCUUUUCUUGUUUUGGUCAAGCAUAGCCAUCACUGCUUGCUCUCCGUUGCUGCCUCCGGCUACCACCCGUUGGAUCUCCACCACAACAGCCACCAUGAACCACCCUCUCAUCCUUCCCCCGAUUAUCACGAAAAGAAAAAGGAAAGAGGAAGAAGAAGAGGAGGAGAGAGAAAACCCAUCCCUCUCUUUCUCUCUCUAUUGGUUCUUCUCUCUUCUCUCUUUAAUCUUCCUAUUUCUCUCUCUAAAAGACUGGAACCCCAGUAAGAGAGGUCCCAUCCUUGGUUCAACCUUUCUCUCUCUACUUGAUUUGUAGAUUCUAAACCGAUUUACCCAGUCAGCCUACUCGAGUCCAUUUCGGAUUACUUAGGGCUUUUUAAUUUGUACUUGGAUUUUCAAAUAGUGAAUAAAAAGUAAUUGAUUCUUCUUAAACAAUUUUGAUAGGUACAGCAGAUUUGCCCAACUGAACCUAGUAAUUUUUGGGCGAAUAGAGGUAAGUGACCCUGGCACAAACCUUAUUAAUUUCAAAUUAUCGAUCAGUUUUAAGUAUGAAAUUAUGAAUUAUAUUUGACAUAAUUGAUCCUGCAUUUUCUUAAAAAGAAUUUAGGAUCAAGUAUAUAAUUGUAAAUAUUCCAUGUUUUUGGCCAAAUAGCAUCGUUAUUGAAUACUUUAUUGUAAAUGCUUUACGUAUAAAUUAUGAUUAUGAAAAAUUGCAUGUUACUAUGAAAAUGAUAUAUAUGGCAUUGAUUAUGCAUUUUAAACUUUUGCGAUGCCAUUUAGCACUUCCAAACUAUUUAUAAAGGUAUGAUUUAUGAAAAAUAUGAAAUAUUUUACGAGCUCUUAAAUAGUUACGACUGCCACUAAUAAUGGAGACCAAUCGACACCCUGGAGUUAACAUCCAAUAAAAAUGGCUUUCUGCCAACGAGUUAAAGUUAGUAAUGAAUACGAACUAUAAUAACUUGUCGACUACGAAGAUGGCCCUAUCACGGGUUAUAGUGACCGUAGAGCGAAAAAUCUGUGAGCACUCUUUUAAUUAAAAGUAUGGAUAAAUGGCAAAUAUUUGACAAUUAUGAAUAUUUUAAAUUGCACUUUCAGCUUUACAAACUUGAAUGAUUUGUGCAUACAUGAUUGGUUUGCUACGACACAGUUUGUUAUUUUGUUUAUGAAAUAUUUUAUUUUACAGUCUAAGUUUACUUUCCAAAUGAUACAUUGAACCAUGUAAAAAACUUAUGCUUGAUCUGGUAAGGUGGUGCAUUGUUACUUACUAAGCCUCAAAGCUUAUUUGUCUCUUUAUUUUUUUUUAAGAUAAUUAAAGUUGCUAAGAGCGAAGAAGAAUAAACGAAGGAUGAAAGAAAUAAGCUUGAAGCAUAGUUGCAAGCUAUCAAUGAAUAUAGUUAUGACUAUAAAGUUUGGGUUAUAUAGUCUUGAAUAUUCAAAUGUUGGAUUUAGAUACGUUGUACCCGCUUCUCUUUGUUUAGCAAAUGGAAUUGGACUAAUUUAAUUAUUCAAUAUUUUUUCAUGAAGAAUUUUUUUAUUGGGGGCUUUUCACAAAUAAUCACAAAUUAAUUAAUAUGUAUAGAAAAAUUGUAAGUUCACAACUUGACAGUUCAAAAAAAAAAAUCCUUAAAGAACUCACCUUUCCAAACCAAAGUUGUUUUGUGAGGUCAUCUCCUUAAAUAAGUUUUAUGUACCAAGAUCUGAUAACCUAAUGACAGGAUUCUACCCUCUCUUACCUUCUUUUCUCUUGUUAUUGUUGAGUUCGAAGUACUGACAAAGAUGUAAAGCUGGCAUAACAACAGUGAACUCAUGUAGAAAGAUAGGUUUAAAUGAAACAUUGCAAGACAUAUUGGUAGCACACAAUAGCCAGCCAAAGUCUUGAUCAAACCUGCAUUGAGAACCUUGAUGCAUCAAGAGCCCAUUAUUGAGGUAAGAAGUUCAAGAAGUGAAUGAAGAAUAAUAUGGAUUCAGAAAACAAUACAAAGAUGAUAAAAUCAAGAUAACAACAACAACAAUAAACUAUGUUUAAACAAACUUUACAUGUCCUGUAGAAUUUCCAAAAGAAUAUCUAUUGGUCAGGUGCUUCAAGGAAUAAAAUAAACAACAAACUAACCUGCCUCCCGCUCGAAAGUUUCACGUUCCUCAUGGUAAGCAUCUACAAAAACAGCGACGUGUUUAAAAAGUUGAGUGUAUGAUGGAUUUACAGAGUAGCAGAAUAUAAAAUCCAAAACUAUUUGAAGCUAUUCAGAGGUAGAUCUCUGAACUGAGAAAUUGACCAAGAACAAGAAAUGGUGGGGGGAAAAAAAGAAACCUAAUAUAAUAGAAAAUAAUCUUAAAUGGGGCAUAUGGCCAAACAUAUAUAGGUACUCAUGUAUGGCUUGUAGAACACAAGGUUAAGAAUCAAGGCCACUACAUAACUGUAAGGACCCCAACAACAUUAGAGAAACAAAACUCAGUUUAAGUGCAAAUGGUUGAUCAGUCUACCAGUUCAUAAUGUUUAAAACUUUGAAAAUUGUUAAGGCACAAGUACACACUUAACUGUAUUCACCAUUCUCCAUAAGUUUCAUGGCAUAUUCAGUGAGUUGAUCAAACAUAUGUUUUGCGUCUAAUGACAUCUUUCCUCUGUUGUCACUGGAAGUGCCUUUAAGCCUUUUUAAAGCUUGUAUGAUCUAGAUAGCAAAAGAAAACAGGAGCAAAAUCAGUUUCAAUACAUAACCAGCUUGUUAUUGGAACGUACUGCAAGCUAGUUCAUGCACGAAGAACUCAAUUAUUUGUACAUCAAUCUAGAAGAUCUUCUAGCCUUGCAGAAUCUCACACUUAUGUUAAUUUACAAUUUACAGGUAAUAUACACCAUUAGCGCUCCUAAAUAGAACUAGUCAACUUAUGAGUGACAAGUGAAAAAUGCAAACAUUAUCACAGAAGUACAAAACUGCAACCCAGAAACUAACAUAUUUUCUGAACCAAAUUCCAAUAUGCAUCCAACUCACAAUAAAAUGAAAUGCAUUAACCUCUGCAAAUUUAAAACAAAAAAGAACAAAAAAUGAUGCUUCAUUACCUCAAACACAUUACCUGACCCCAAAAAAGUUGAUUUAGAAUGAUACAGUCUGACAUAGCAUUAAGCAAGGAUUUACUAUUUAGGUAUCAGGCAUACGUGCUGGUCUGGCUAGAAACUGGUACAUGAUGUCAAUACGUCCUGGUUUUGGUGAACCAAGUGCAAACCACCCACAUCGCAAUGGAUCAGAGUGGAACCGUCUCUGCCCUGAGCUGAGCUGGACACACUAAAAAGGGUUUUUUUUUGUUUUUCACUAUUACAAGGUAGAAGUUGGGGGGAGAGAGAGGGGGGGGAAGCAGGGUGUUUCCACACUUGAAGAUUUGCACAUCUAAAGUUCAGAUUACCAGAAAAUCAAUGAGGUAAGCCUAGAAUAUUGUUUCUAGCUAGGUAAUACCUUCUCCAGUCAGUUUUUUAGUAACUGUUGCAAACAUUUGACCUUAAAAUAGGAGGAAUUUCGAAUUGUUGAGUAAGGAUCAUCUUUUAGGUUCAUUUCUUUGGUAUUUUUCAUUGGUUUACCAUUUCACAAUAAAUUAAUCAUAUCUAAAUUGCUGGUGCACAAAUAGAGUUGUUUGAAAUAAUUUCUUAUGAUAAGUUAUGUGAAAUGAUGUAUUACACAACAAAACACAUUUCCAACGACAAUGGAAGAGCACACAUAUAGUAGCAUAAUAUGAGCAUUUAAAUUAAUAAAACUUACCACAUUUUGUAUAAACUCAGCAUUAAAACAGUGAAAGAAUAAAAAGAGGAACAAAAAAAUUGGAGAGAAAAUUUAAUGGUAGCAAAACUUGGCAUGACAUAAAAACCCGACCCACUCGGCCCUAUUUAGGGCAGGUUUGGGUCAAGAAUUUUUUCCUAGAGUCAAGUAUGGGUCAAAUUUUUUGACCGAACCUUAAAUGGGUUGGGUAGGGGCGAGAGAUUUGACUCAACUCGGACAAUGAGGGUAGGGUUCUAUUUGGUUCAAAAUAAUUUAGAUCAAGCUGAUUCAUGAUCUUAGAUAAGAAAUUUUUGAGUAGUUGGUCUUUUCUUGAUGCUAGUUAUUUAAAUCAUUUUAAAAAUUUGCCUGUAAAAAUUGUAAGGACUGGAUUUAAUAAACUAGGUUAUGUCUAUGAGGAAUCAAGCCUUACAAAAUCUAUUAGAUUAAGGUCAAAUAGGUGACUCGAAAUGACCCAUGGGUGAGUAUAGGCCAAAGGAUAUGGGUCAACACCUCUUGACGUGAUGUUGGUUAGGGUCGUGUGUUGGUCAAGAUUUUGUAAGUUGUUAUCCUUGCUUGACCCAGCUCAAACCCAACCCAAUCCAUUGCCACCCUUAGGAAAAAUAGCCCUAAUAAGGUUACUAGCAAGGCACCAAGCAAUAUAUAUUGUUAAUGUAGUACUACCAGCCAGCAACAGAUACAGCCUUAUACCUCAAGAUUUGAAAACACUGCAUUAACCUUUAUGCUAACAAUACAAGCUGUUAAAGCAUAACCAAUAAGCAAAACCGCAUCCAAACCAGCUGCUGCUGCAGUAGUAGUAGGAGCAGAAGUAGGAGGAGCAGUAGGAGGAGGAGGAGGAGGAGGAGGAGGAGGAGCAUUAGACUAAGAUUGAAGAUCAACAAGAAUUACCGUUUCUCCUGGCUGAAGUAAAUUUGCAAUAUUCCUCUUUAUCUUUCCUAUAUCCUCUGAAGAAAGGUCCUGAUAGUCUUCUUCUGCACUUACUUUCUCCUGAUGUUUUUUUGCGAAUCUCGUAUCAACUUCAACAUUAUCCAGCCACGCAUCCUGGAUCAAUAAAUACCAACAAUUUAGCGCGAUGUGAAUGGAAGCAUAAAAACAAUCUGUCACAAUGGAUGCAUAAACAUAAUAACAAUAAAAAUCAAGCACCUUAAUAUCAUGCUGACUUGCAUAUUCAACAAAAUUUCCAUUUUCGUCAAAGUAUCCCUCUUCUCUUUCUUGCUUCAAAUUAAAUGGUUCUAUUCGAAUACCAUCCUCUUCAAAAUUAGCAUCAUCCUGUGUCAAAAUUAAUUCCUUUGUAUCAGCUAACCCUUGCCCAUGAACUGGUGGGACUGAAAACAAAAAACUCCCAACUUCAAGCAAAAGAAUUAUAACUUGGAAUUUGGAAACAUAAAUUUCUCCAAAAUUAUGACCUUAAAAACAGAAAAUCGAGAGUCAAUACAAACAAAAAUCUAACGACUAGGGAUCGAAGGGUCAACUGACCUCAUAGUGAACCUCGGCAGAGGAUAUGUCCACCUGGUCCCGGAACAGCUCCUCCUCUCUCAACUGGCUUCGGCGCUUGGCACGCUCCUUAGCGGCGAGCUGGGCGUCAAACCUCGGCUGGAAGUCCUCCUCGUCUCCAUCACCGCCGAACGAGAGCUCGUUGCCCUUCUUCGCCUUCUUCGCCUUCGGAAACCUAGCCCUCCUCUGCCUGCAGCGCGGCCAAGAUAGCAGGAUGAGAUAAAGAAACCCUAGAGCUUCGCGAGAGAGACAGAGAGAUUUUGCUGGGUAUGAAAGAAGGAAGGGAAGUUACAGCGGGGACGGGUCGGAAUCGUCGUCGGGAAGCGGACGCUUGGGGCGAGAACUUUGGCCCUUCCCUUCCAUCGACUCGGCGGGACGGUCGGUCGGUGGGUCGGUCGGGCGGAGCACCAGAUUAUAUUAUGCAGUCGUCUAGCGCUGGCACCUGCGAUGCACACGUGAUUCCCAGCACGGUUCGGAUCAGACGGUACGAGCCCUUCGCACGUGCAAUGAACGUGGGAGAUGAAAGUAUGAGCGGCUCAUUUCUAUCAAAUCUCUUUUUUUUUUUUUACGAUCUGCGCGGCUGCGCCCAUAAUGAGAGCUAUUUCCCGAGUGUAAUACCGAAGGAAGGCACGCAUCACUGAAACGCCAGGUGAUAAACAAUGACUGGCGCAAUAUAUUUUGUGCAAGAACCAAUUCUCUACUCCACGUGUCGUCCAAGUUUCAAACACAAGAACCUGUCACCGAAACACCAGCUAUAUGCACGAACGUGUGAAAACCUUUGGAAGAUACCAACCGUGGUAGUCUCAUGAAAGCUGUUACUCCAAAUUAUAGUUAUUUGACUGCUUCAUAACAUUCAAUUAAAACAAUAUAUUUUAAAUUAAAAAAAACUUAAUUUAUAGAAUUAAUGCUGACAGCAAACCAUGAUUUGAUGUUAUUUUCUAUUGCAUCUGUUCAAAACGACUGCUGUAUUAGCUAGUAUCUUACUUCAAAAAAUCUACUCCCCAGUAUUAAUUGGGCAAAUAACGGUCAGCGAUGAUCAGUCAGUGAUGAUUAGUGAUGAUCAUGGUGUUUGGUAAAUAAUAUUAUAAUAAUGUCAGUGAUGAUCAGCCAAUAAAAUUUCUUGUGGUGCAAGUCCCUGUACGGCUCUGCUCCCUUGUCCCUAGAUGAUCUGUCCAAGGGAGUGGCUGGACUGUGCACGCGCUGGAAAAUUCUGGCCGGGGCAUUGGAUUUCACUUCAUGCCGAAGCUGGCAAAAGAGUGCUUCACCUGCCUCCUCAUCUGUGUAAAUGUAUCACUGCUAAAUUUCUUUCAAGCAUCGGUAAGAGAUUCACGUUAUUCAAGUUCUGAAAUUGUACUAUUCAGUAAUAUGGGGUCCUCGCUACUCAUUGUAUUUAAAAUAUGUUGACGGUAUAAGACAACAUCAGACAGUUCUAAACUUCUAAUACUAGUUCAUAAAGCAUAUGCUGAUGUUACUACUCACCUCAGAUUGAUGAGCUUCGGCUCGAUGAGAUCUUGAUAAGAAUCAAAAAUAACAACACAAAUGAAAACAAGUAGCCCUUAGUCAGAUAACAGAAUCCUGCAUAAACCUUGAAAAGUUGAGAAUCCAAUCCAUUCAAUUCAAUUACAGACACAAUUACCUGCAGUCUAAUUUCCUGUCUAGGUUUUUACAUUUGCCAAAAUUUGAUAAACAAAACUGGCCUGUAAAGUGUGGAAGAUCCAAAGUCCCUCACAUGUACAAUCAAAGGUAUCAAGGCUCAGGAAAAAGUCCUAUAAGUCCUGCUUUCCAGUACAUGCAGAUACAGCUCACAAGAAACACUCUCCGGGGGAAGAUCGCAUUGUCUAUUACAAAUAUUCAACAUUGACGAACACAACAAGACUAAAACUUUUACCAUCCAUGUAGACUUCUAUUUUAUUGUUGAAGAAACAGACAGUGCAUUUCCACUAUCCACUGUACACUACAAUCACCCAAAAGAUCACAUCUUUCAUAUCUCAUCUUACACAACUCCAAGAACGUCUAAUUGUUCUACGGAGGGGAAAGUAAUGGAGGUAAACAAGUGCCAGGCAAAUAACUUGCUAUGAAGAAAACCUCUCUCUUAACUUCUACCACCUGAGGCUCUCAUAGAAUAAGAUGUACCCAUGAUCUGUAUUGCCUGAGUACUCCUGCGCAGACCCAAAGAAUGUCUGCACAGUGGACUCAUCUAUCAUCUCCACAUUUUCAUCAUCAAAGAACAACCAAUGGUUGUGGCUUUUAACAAGGCUGACAUAGUGUCCAUGGUUGGGACCACUCCCGACAUGGACCACAACAGCAAAGAGAGAGUACUCAGAGUCUGCAUCAUCAACCGUGUUGUUAAGCUUCAACUCCAAGGGAAACACAACCCGGUAUGACAGUUUCUUGUAUCGCCCAAGCUGCUCAAUAUACUUGAAGCGCUUGAGAUGGAUCACAAGGAUAUGUGGCGGCUUCUUGAUCUUCAUCCUUUUCUGGGCUUCCUGCAAACUGCAUGGAGAAGCAAAAAUUUCAAAUUUUAGCAAGGGUUACCAUUAAUUGAUGACAAUGUGCAAAAGGCUAAAAAGAAGGGGCUGAGGAUAUGUGGAAGAAAAAAAUUAAGCUCAACCCAACAUUCCCAUGACCAUCGUAUUCUCGUUGAUCUUGUUUAACAAUCAAUUGCAAUUCUCAGCAAUAGUUAACAUUUUCGCAAGUACACUUUUAGAUGAUUAAGCAGUUCGAAAAAAAUGAAAACUUCGGAACUACACUCAUGAAGCACGUAAUUGACAAAUACAUUACACAAACUCAACACACCAAAAAGGAAGCAAUCCUAUUGCCUGGUUAAUGUUAUCAAGCAACAAAACAGAGUAGAAGGAUCUUCAUAUUAGAUUUCAAAAAUUAUGGUUAGCUUCUUAUAUUUUGAAGUGGUUAGCAGUAACUACCUUUUGAAAAAAAAUCCAGAAGCAUUAUAAUAAAGUCAACAAAUUCAAUCUUAAUGGCACCUACAAGGUAACUUUCACUAUGUGACAAAGGAAUGAAUCAGGAGGAAGAAAAGGAUAAGGAUGACAGAGACCUGCAGCACUUGUCACAGAAGAACUUGUCUUCAGCAUUUAAAGUCUCUGUUGAACUGAAGUUUUUGAGGCAGCUUGUUAUAGAACUAUUUUGCUCAAUGUCAAGGCUCAAGUCAAAAAAGGUUUCAUCCCUUGCAGUGACCGUUUCACACCGUAAGCAUCUAGUUUCAUUGGUUAAUAUACCCUGCAAGAAAAAAUUUAAAAUUUAAAUUGGCAUCACAAAAUACCAGCUUUCUAGCUCCAUACACGUUGCAUUGAACAGAAGGUGCAGCGCAAAUUUAGGCCAUCUAAUUCACCUGAAAACUCUUAUGGACCCAUGUAACAAGUGGCUCUUUAGGAACUCCGUUUGCUUGAGGGUGGACUGGCCCAUUAGCAGUCUUUUCUAAUGCUGAUGAGGUUUCAGGGGAACUUUUUGCAGCACUAGACUCUUUCUCAAGAACUUCAACAAGCUCGUUCAGCAAGAAAUUCAAAAACUCAUGUGCAUCCUAGAAUAUAGUCAAGAAGACAAGAAGAAAGUUCAACUAUCAAACUAGCAAAACAAAUCAAAUAACUAAAAUCCAAGUAACAAUAACAGGAAAUGCCACAUGCUACAUACUUAGCAUUUGAUAAUGGAAAUGUGGUCAACAUUAAUCCUCAAUAUCAGGAAAAUAUUGCAAGUUCUCAAUUUAUGUUAAUGACUGCUGGAAUCCUAAGGGUGAUCCUUGUCUCCCUCCUUAAUUCAGACAGGGUAAUACAUCACAUUUGGUGAAAGAAUCAAAAUCUCAAACUAUCAGGUGGUCAUUCCCACUCAGAACAAUAGUGAAUGCAUACAAUCGUCUUAAAUUUCAGAUAGCAUACUAGUUGGCCAGUUAGUGAAUGAACUAAUGUGUAAGGAAAUGAGUCAGUGCACUUCUUCACAAGGCAUUGGAAAAGCCUCACAGAAGGCAGAUAAUAGGAAGCAAUGAAACAGCCAAUUAUUUGGCAAUGAAUAAGCAACAGUCCUUAUCCACUUGCAGCUCAGAUUAGGUAUCCAAAUAACCAUGUGCAAAAAAUAAUUCACCAUAGACAACAUAGUCAAAACAUAUGAAUCACUAGGGAAGUUAAUUCACAUAGUUGGAAAACCAAACUAGCUUGCAUUAAGACUGUUUCACUGAUUCUUAAAACUGAUAGUACAUUGAACAUAAUGUCUGUCAACUAACAAUGCACAACAAGGUGGAGACUGAAUUACCUGGUGCAUGUAACUACGGAAAUACUCGUUCUGUUUCUUCACUCUCUGCACAAAACGCUUUGGAGCAAUAACACCAGUUUUUUUCUUUUGGGAACUUAUCUGCAUGGUUUAAUACCAAUACAUCAAUCCUCAAAAAAGAUAAAAAACAUAGAUGCCAAAACUUCCAUUUACACAUGAAUGCAUGAAUAUGAAUAUGGUAGAUGGAUAUGACAGGUUAUGGAUAUGCCAAUAUAACAAAUUUUUGAAAGAACAGGCUAAAUUUGUUAAUACAUGUAAAAAAGCAUCCAAAAAGCAUAAUGAAUUAUCAUGAAAAAUAGUCGACGCCCCAUAAUCAAUAUGUACAAGCUCCAUUUGCCAUCAUUUCAAUCUAUAAACCAUAGUCCAUACUGCAUACAACAACAUCAACUUCACAAACUCUAACAGCAAAAAUAAGCCACUAGAUCUCAAUCCAAUGGCCCCAAAGAAAACAUUAGAGCCAUUUGAUCAUAAAUUUGUUCAAAUCAAACAACAAAUAAAAUGAAAUAUUAUAUAUUAUUUACAAUUUUCGCUAUACCAAGCCAAAUAUGAGCAAGCUAGGUCAAGUUCAUGUCCAGCUUAUUUAUUUUUCGAGCUCAAAAAUUGUAGCUCACACUCAGCUUGUUUAUUAACUGAGCAAACUAAUAAAAAAUAUGAACAAUGCUUCUCAAUUUCAAACGAGAUAUCAAGAUAUCAAUAUUUUCAUCACAUUGGCUGAGGUAUCCAUAAAGCUGUUCUACAGAUUUUCUCGAGAAAUAAAAUUAUUUCUUUAUCUCAUCUCAUAUGAAGAAUAGUAUUGGCUAAUAUUAACAUCGUACAGCUUUUAUAUCCACCUACAUUUGCUUCCAUGGCAAAAUAUCUUGGCCAAUAUGUUGAAUAUUUUACCAAGUGAUAUAUCAGGAUGUAUUGUGUGUAAUGGCCAAGAUAAAACUGGUUGACAUUUUGGAUGUAAUGUAAUGGCAUGGUGCCCGACUGAUACAAACCAAGAUCUUGGCCGAGCUCCAGGCUGAGAUGAAAACCUUGAUUACUCAAAACAAUACUAAAUUUUAGUGGACUAGAGACUCAAAGAAAUUAAGAACAACAUGUUCAAUGAAUCUUUUCAAAGGUUACAUCAAAUAUCUAUCUGAUCAUGUAAAAUCCAUGUAAAAGUCAUAAAAGGCUUAUAUGUGUAUAUAAUCUCAUGCAGACAUUACCACGCCGCUAGUCAGACGCAUUCAGAUGGAAACAACUAGAACUUAUCAACAAUAUAAGUUAUUCUCCAAGGUACAAUUGGAAUAUCCUAAUCUUGAAUGCUGACAUAAUGUUACUUGUUUAAAAUGAUAAGGUGUUUCAAAUUUAAAAUGGCUGAGAGAAAACCUUCAUAAGCUAAGCAGCAAGCAUGUACAAACACGACAUCAAAUAUGCAGUUCAAUGCCAGCAUGCAAUGAUCUGUUAAGUAUAAAGGCAAUUAUAAGCAUAGUUGCCAACACCUACUAAGUUUAAAGGCAUCUUAUACAAUAAGCAUGCAGUAAAGUAUUCAGUAACAGCCAACAAAAGAAACAAAGAAAAGAAAAUGCAAAUAGACCCUUACUACAAAAAUAAAGCAGCCAAAUAUUCCAGUAUUGCUCCACAAUAACCUAGAUGAAGGAUACAGUAACACUAUGGCAAAAGAAUUAGAUAAUUAGAAUUAACAUGUGAUAAGAUAUCACAAUUAAGAAGUGCAUCUUUUACCUGAGUGAACAAAUCUGCCAAACAUGUCAUAAGGUUCUCCUCUGUCUCUCCUAGGUUCUUGUUGUUUGCAUAAUAUUCUAGUAACUGCUCCCUGAAUGGAAGACAAAAAUAUAAUGCCUGCAUAUGAAAUACAAUGAUAAUGUUAGAAAUGAAAUAAAGUUGGAGAUGUUAAGUUUACAACAUAAGCACCAGAAAAAUACACGCAAAACCUAAUGAAAACAUGCUCCAAACAAUUAAAUUACUUCAUAAAUGAAUAUGCUAAGGGCAAACUUUUGCUGACUGAAAAAGUAUCCCAUGUAAGGAGUUGCGCAUGGACAACUACUAGAGUGGAAUAUAGACCAAUGAAAUGGGGAUAGCUGGAAAUGGUAAUUACUAUAAUGCCGUAAAAUUCACAUGACUAAUUUAGAUAUUGCAUUUUUAUUCUAGCAGAGCACUGGUGAUGAGUUGGUUACAGAACUUCUUCUAAUCAUUUAUAUUAAAAUUAUUAAAACAUCCAUCUUUUUUGUAAGAUGGCAUUUUUGUGUGCCUUGGAAACAAAUCAAAUGCUAUCAACAUACCAUCAAGAACCAAGACAAACCCAACAAGUAUGUCCACAUAAGCAUUAUCUACAUGUAUUAUACCUGCAAGUGCAGCAGAGCAUGCUAGAAAAUCAGUGCAUUGUGGUCAAAAUUCUCUAUCCAUGUUUUCAUCUCAAGAUCCAACAGUUUUUCCAGCACGAACAUGCAAUUGCAUCAAUCAUUUUGAAAUACCACGCUGUUGAUAGAUAUUAGGAGGAUUCCCAGGUAAAUUUCUAAUUAACCAAAAUGAUUUUGUGUGCCAUUCAUUUGUUGAGUUGCCCUUGGACCACAUCGGUGGAAGAGGGAGAGAAACCAGGGAACAAAGGAUUCAAUCAAAGGCGUUGGUGCCUUGGUGGUGCAAUGAAUAACGUUAUUAGGCAAGGGAAUCAAGAAAUAUUUCUACUUUAUACCAGCAAUGCUUAAGGAGAUAUCGCAUACAGCUGCUUAGUCUUGGAGACAAGAUUCAAAAGGAAACAGAGUAGUCGAUGUCGCGUCAGUGGCACAGGAAAACAAAAGAAUUCUUUAUCUCAACGAUGAUAUUGAGAUUUGACAGUCAGUUCACAAUCAAGUUGAAAAUUCAAUCAAAAAUGAUCAUAUGGAGGUCAAAUACCAAAGUCCACCGUCUGUAACUCUCCCAGUACAGACAGAAACAUGGAGGAGGGGCGGAAAAAGCCCCUGGAACACCAUCCACUUAUAAGACCAAUCUAUAACCAGCCUAUUGCGUCGCUGAAUAAGUGAAAAAUCUAUCAUUUCUGUUAAGAACCCCGGCAAGAGAGAUGAAAUCUACAUAAAUAACAAAUACUAAAAAUACGAGAAGAUAGCUUGUGCCCUUAAAUUCAUAUCAAGAAUUCAAGAAGAUACUUCACAUGCACGGAUGAAAUCAAGAACAAGAAAUUAGAAUAAAGAAUCGAGAAAAUUUUAGAAUUCGGAAGAGGGAAGACCUGCAAGACGCUGUUACAGUAGCAAGUAUUGCCGAAGUUCUCGAGGCCGAAGUACCGCUCGCCUUCGGGGAACUGGUCUCCAAGAGCCUUCUCGAGCUUGGAACCCGCGGCUCCCAUUACCGUCCACUUCUCCCACCACCCCCCGGCGACCCCAGCGAGAUACCGCAGCCCGGUCCCCAGCCCCGCCCCCGCCGACGACCUCCCCCUCUCCAACCCUCCUUCCACCGCCGCCGCCGCCGCCGCCGCGCGCUCCCCGUCCUGCGCCGUGGGUGCCCGAGACGGAUGCGGCCUCCUAGGGUUUGAAGCCGGCUUCUUGGAAAGGAAGGGGAGGCAGUGCCCUAGGGUUUCCGGUUCGGCCUUUCGAUCAUCGCCUCAGGAGUUGAGAGAGAGAAGAAGCGAGAUGCAGGGCGAUGGAGAGGCGUCGACGGAUUAAUCGCCGGGUCGUUUCUCCUUCCCUCCUAUCUCGGUGAUUUCUUCUGUUGACUCCACACAGCAUACCGCACGUGCGCCGUCCCCCGGAGCCAUCUUUCCCCUGCCCUUCAUCGGGAAUCGCGUUGCAAGAGGGCUGGUUCUCGGUUCCCUUCGGGGGGAAUCCUGGAAUGAGCAAUGUUACGUUGAUGGAAAUGCGGAUACUGGGUGCUAAUUUGAUGAGGAUCAGACGGCUGAUAGUGACAGUAGAGUCGUGUGGGAUUGGUGGAUUUUGUUCGAUGGAUUGAGAGCGAAGCCCCAACAACCGGUCUAACACGCCAAAGAGCCGACCACUGGUUUUGUGCGAUUGGUGGGACAAAAUGUCAUGCAAUCAUAACGAGGUGCCAUGGGAGGGCAUGAAUCAUUUGUAUUCCCAUCCAAAAGAAACACCUUCCAAAGGUAUGGAAUUCCAAUGCCUCCAAGCAAGCGAAGGUUUUCGGGGUGAUCGCCGCACGUCCUUCCUAUGCUCCGUGACAACGGCGGUGCCCCGAAAGGGGCUUGCUUAAGCCCAUAGGCUUGUGCAUGAGGAAAUGCUUGGAGGCGGGAUAUUCAGAUGGAAAGACUCAAAAAAGUUAACCAUUUUUCCCUUUAAACUUGUAACCACUUUCGAAUCAGAACCUUACCUUACAUCAGGUAUUGAUCGUCUCUCGACUGAAGCAGUGUCGGAGAGUUCGAAAUAAGAAUGGACCUUUUAAUCAAGGUUUUACUUAUAAGUCUGCGCUAAAUUAGCUACUUUCUUGUGAAAAAGUUAAAAAGGAUUAGGAUCAUGAUAUUAUUGUUAUAUAGCAAUCAUGAUGGAUGUUAUAAAUUAUAACAAUGUUUGAUGGUAUUUCUUACCUUCUUUUGAUACAUGUAGUACAAUUGUCCAGAGAUAACAUACUGCUGUCCGCAUGUUAAUAUGCAUAAUGUUAUUAUUUCAAUGUUACGAGUUGUUGUAAAAUAGUGGAAUAGUAACAAUAUUAGAUUCUUGAAUUUUUGAACCAAAAAUAACUGUACCAUGUCACAUCCCAUCUUGACUUGAUCAUCAUUACUCAUAAUUAUGUUAUCAAGAGCAUGACCUAAAGCAACCAUUGCAUUAGUAGAGAAAUCAUCUAACAUACCAUAACCCUAAAGUUAAAGGCUAUUUUAAACCCAAUAAUAAUUUUAUUCGCAUUUUUUUAAAUAAAAAAAAUACCAUCUAGAGUUGAAAAAUUUCUAAAGAUGCUCAUUGCAAUAUCAAAUGGACCAAAGAGCACUAGAUUUAUCUUGAAUUCCAUGUGGAGCACCUCACCUAUAUGCUCCAAAGUCCAAAGUUUUCUAUACAUGGUUCGUACAAACUACACAAACAAAAAUUAGAAAAGGGAUUAAUUACAUCUUUUACUUUCUGCCUAAGGCUACAACUCAUUUUGACCAAAAUAAAUUAUUCUGCACACUAAAUUACCCACUUGACAACGGCAGAGGUUAUCCAGAUGCAUGAUCCAAAAAAUAUGCUAAUCAAAUGGAGCUAAAUAAACCUAUUUCAAGAGAAUGGAACCUUCAAGAUGCAGUCCAAACAUUUAAAAACUGAAACCCAUCAGCAAUGAUCAUUUGGAUGCUGAAUUCAAAAGGUGAGGACGGAGGGGGAGGAGGCGGCCGGAGAGGAGCGCACGACCUUGACGGACGGCGGGGAUCGGGAGGCGGCGGACGGAUUCAAGCGCUCCAAAGCGGACCUCCGCCGCUUGUUGCCGCAGCACGGGCACGGGUCGUUGCACUCCACCAUCUCUCUCUUUUCAUUUUCUCUCUCUAGGAUCUGGGGAGCUUCUGGGCUUACUUAGAAGGGGGCAUGGGAGUGAUGAAGAUAGAGUGGGUUCCGAGUUCGAAGGAUUCGUAGAAGGGAGAAGGUGGAGAGCAAGAGAUACCAGGAUGACCGUUGGAUAAAAUGGCGGGAAGCGGUUUGGUGGAGACGCACGAAGCUGCAACGGUAACCGUACGGCGAAAUGUACGGACUUCGAGAUCAUAUCUAAUUGGAACAAUUGAAAUAACCAGCACCGAGCAACAAAUAAGAAUUUCCACUUCUUUUUUUUAAAAUUGGAACAAUUGAAAUCAUAUCUAAUUCCUCAUAAAAGAAAUGUUGGAGCAAAAUAUCGAUAAAUAAUUAAGUCUGUCAUAUAUUAUUAGAUAUAUGAUUACACAUCGAAGUCCAAGUAAAAUCCACUGAAAGAAAUUUGUGAAAUGACAAACAAAACCUGAUUAUAUUAUUAAUUUUGGUUUAUAUUUUGCUUGUAUCUGAGGUGCAUUUUGACACGAAGGCGACCCAUUUAUAUCCUAUAAAGAUCUCUAGAAACCAAAGGGAAUUAUUAAACGACGGUAUCCCCAAAAUCCUCCUCGGCUGGGAUAACGCAUUUUCAAGCUCACGUCUGUGGUAGCGAGAAGUAGCAAUUUUGAUCACAAGCUCCAUGUUCUUCAGGUGGAAGGAGCCUCGGAUUGGCAAGCUCCACCAGACUGACAGCGUGAAUUUAGAAUGACCAUUCCAUGCAAUUUUUUGUUGGAUUCGAUCCACAGCUGAGUUGGUAGACUAGUCCGACAGUAGUAUAACAUGCACAAACGCAUAUGUAUUGGGCGGCUUUUCUUUUUAUCCAUGUUUCCAUAUAUUGCUUCUGAUCCACCAGCUGAGUAGUAGCCAAAAACACAGGCUUUUAACAAACGCUUGUUUUUUUGCAGCCACUAACUACAUUACAUGAUUCAUAGGCCUCGUCAGCAUGGACUGCACCGCUUCAGGUUGGGAUUGAUUAACAGAAAUCAAACCCAUAAUUUGCAUCAAGUCGGGCUCGGACACACCUUGACUCGGGUUAGACUUGGGUUAAACAAUGUCAACUCAACUUCAACGCUCAGUCAGUUCGCGUCAGAGCUUGGACAGCCUCAAUUUCUAAACAGUUCGACCCAGCCUGAGCCAACGCCCCAUUCUUCGUUGGGCCACCAACUCGAGCAGCCCAAAUUUGCAUUUCCCAAUAAAUCCCUCAGACUUAGCUCACACUCAGAAGAUUGUUGUGAGAAUGUAGAACGAAAGGCCUGUCUCGGUGACUGGGCUUGCCGUCCGCGUAUAAGUUAGGUUGGGCUUCGAUGGGUCCGAAAUCCAACCAGAUCCGUGACCCUGGCUUGCUUUCUGAGGUAAUGGUACUGUACUGCUCUGAAAUCUCAUGCACUUGGAUUCCAUUUGUGACGAUUCACUUUUCCCUCUCGUUAACACACCUUAGCCUGGCUUGCAUUCCUGACCAAGGUGGCUGAUCCCACCACCCUCAGUCUAAACUUCUGGAGCUUUCAAUUUCUCAAGUAUGGGUGAAUAAAACCAAUACCUUAAACAGCAGAAAAAGGAAAAGUUAUUAUGUGGCCCAGAGUCGCAAGUUCAUCAGGAAAUAGAAGAGAUUCUCCUUUCCAAAACGAACCUCGUUGCUCAUGCUACAGCCCUGAAACAGCAUUUCUAGCAGGAAUCACCCUACUGAUAUUUUAAGACCCCUCCACCACAACUCCUGGGUCCUGUCAAAACAGAGCAGACUUGAGACCAUAAAAAAGAGAAAAGGCAAUAAACCAGGCCAAGAAUCCAGAUUAUAGGAAUUCAGUUUGCAGAUUUCAACGGAUCUGCUGCUUAAACUGGCCCAUCCAUAUCCAUAAAAAGUUGAAACUUGAAAGGUAAAGAUAGCUCCACAGUAGAACAAAAGGACCCUGAUUCCAGAAGAUGCUCUAAAUGAUGCCCAACUAUACCGUGGUGCCGAGAGAUGGACAUCAUUCUGCAUACUUACCAGAACAGAACAAGCAAUUUAACAGGGGAACAUUUUAAAUGAUAUAGAAGACAUACCUUGUCAAACAAAAAACAAAUUUCAGGUCCCUAGAUAAGAACCAUAGUAGCGACCAGUGAAUCUCAACUGGGGCACAUCAACACUUCCAUAUACCCAACUCCAGUUCAACACAGCCUGAGAAAAUAUUCGAAAAUGUAACCACAUUACUCUGUACUAACAUUUAAUGAUUAUGUCCGCAUAGUUAACAUAGCAGUCAGAAGAAUACCUAACUCCUAAUUGCAAAGCAUAAUUCAGCUUCCGCACUAAUACUAUUUACUCUAACCAACAGGUUACUUCCAAGUUACCAACUCAACAAUCCUGAAAAUCUAAAGAAAAAUAGGUAUCUAACUCCACUACUGCCAGCCACCAUACUGCUGCUGGUGCUGCUGGUGUUGUUGGUGCUGCUGGCUGCGAUUUCCACCCACCAUAUUUGGGCCUCGGCCUGCACCUGAAGCACCGUAUGGACCCCCUUGAGGGUAAUUCGUGACACCUACUGCAUAACCGCUGCCACUACCGCCUCUAGGACCACCAGUGCCAGGCAUACCACUUCCGCCAUAAGGAGGAGGUCCACGUCCUUGCUGGGGAUAUGGGCCGCUGCCAUAACCGCCAGCUUGACCACCACGACUAGGGUUAUAUCCACCACUGGGAUUUCCACCCUGUGGAUAUCUGCUAGGCCCGCCAGAAGGUCCACGUGGCUUGCCAUAAUGAUGGCUGGGGCCAGCAGUCAUGGAAGGUGGCGCAUUGUGAAUGGGCUGGCCAGGGCCAGGUCUGAUCUGAGGAUGGGGUUGCCCAGUUUGCUGGAUGGGCGGUAGACGGGCAUGUGGUUGAGGAUGCUGUAUUUUCUGUCUCUUUGCUGUUUCCUCUUGCUGCCGUUGCUGUUGCCGCUUCUUCUUUGUCUGAAACUCGUGUGAGGACUCAUACUUUGGCAAGCUGUAUCACCAAGAAAUAGAUGCAGGACAUUGGAUUAAAGGUGAGAAAUUUGUAUGAAGGGCUAUACAAAUGAUAGAUUGGAUUGUUAGCCAAGACAGUAGAGCCAACAAGGAAGAAAAAAGGCAUAUUUAGUUCUACACUAGGGAAGAAAACACUUACCUUCUAGGAUCACAAGGUAGGGGAUCAUUCCAAAAGUACUCUGCAUCCAGUGCAUCUUUUGCGGAAAUCCUCUGAAAUAUUGCAACACAGAACCCCCCCACACAAAAAAGGAAAAAAAAAGAAGAAAAAAAGAAGGAAAAAAAGAGAGAAAAGGUUAUACUUUGUGUUUAUAUCAAAGUAAAAGAUGUAUGGAUGUGGCAUCAGCUCAAAGAAUCUACAGGUAAGGAUACAUCAAAAACGUAAAGCAAACUCAUUUAUGCAGAGAAAAACAUGAUAACCUUUUAUGAUCUCAGUUGAUGUAGAUAUCAAACAUAUAUAAAAUCUCAAAAAAAGAAAUAUAGCCACUAGAAAUAUUCCCUCCAAGGCUCAUCCUGAUAAGAAUCCAUCGCCUAAAUGUGGCAUUCAUAGCAGCUGAUAAUCAGCUAAAGGAUCCAAAACACCAACGUUGAAUUUUCAUCCCUCUGACAUGUCUGAUUUCCUUUAAAUAACUUUGCCUUUUACAGACUAUGGGCUGAUACCAGCAAAUGCACAACACAAUUAAAUAGUCUUCAGGGAUUGCCAGAAUAAUGAAAAAAAAUUUAAGUUGUUUCCAUGUAGCUAAAAAUGUUUGAGAACUAAAUUAUGCAUCACAGAAACCUGAUGAAGUUGCAGACAUCAAUUAUAACACUCUUAUUUGAUAAAAAAUUCCAUUAAUGUUUUAAUUAAAAAAAAACUCUGAUUGGAAGUUGACUUAUAAAAUUUUCCAGCCAACCAAAAAGCCCCAACACUCCUGAGGUACAUCCCUAUCUAUGCAAAGAAAGCCAGAAUGUGAAACAAAGAAUGACACAUGCUAUGAUAGGAUAGAGGAAGUGAAGCAGUAUUGAGCAAACAUUUAUAAAAUUUUAAUUAUAUCUCUGCCCCCCCCCCUCCCCUCCCUGUUUUACAAAGUCAAUCAUGACAUAUGACAUUUAUGAUGACCCUGGAAUUAUGGAUGAGUGCAUGUUGGUCUUAUCCCUUGAGGCACAUAAUUGUCAGAUGACAACAAUGCUAUGAUUUAUAUUCUUAUAUUGUUAUGCAAAAGUGAUCUUUUCAUGGCUCAUCCCUAUAACAUGAGAUGGAUCAUGACUAUUAUCACAAGUUCCCCCAAAAUGAAAACUCCUACACGCUAUAGUGUACAUGCCUCUCAUUUAGUCUAAUAGUCCAACUAGAAACUCCCGCCUCAGCUUUAUCCAUACAGUCCAACCGUAAGCUAAUCAUGAUAUCACAAUAAUCUGUACCCAUUAAUAAAGCAGGCCUCAACGGCGAGUAAAUCCCACAUUGGUGUCCUAACUACCAAAUUUUGCCUAUAUGGCAUUAAAAAAGUAUCAUCAAAAUUAGAAUUAACUGACCUAGCGCUUUUUUUUAAUGAAUAAAUAAAAAAAACUAAAGGUAGUAUAGCAUUUUCUAGUUGGAUCAAGAUCGGCGGAACCGUCCUGAACCAGGCAGUUUCGGCCGUUCCGAGCCAUACCGGUGGCUCACCGGUACAGUUCCGGCAACGAAAACGAAACCCGUUGCCGGAGCCAGAAAAGAAGAAAAGAGAGAGCGAGCGGGGGAGGGGAAGAGAGGGCCGCGGGGGGCCAACAGAGGCCGCGACAGUUCGAAACAGGAGAACCGGCCGCGGCCUCGCUUGCCGUAGCCUCCACCAGCAUUCGCCACCCUCCCCCUUNUCUCUCUCUCCCCCUUCUCUCUCUCUCUCNNNNNNNNNNNNNNNNNNNNCCUCCCUCCUCUCUCUCUCCCUUCCUCUCUCUCUCUCUCUCUCUCUCUCUCUCUCUUUUGUCUCCCACGGUACCAUACCCUCGUCGGUAUAGGCCCGGCAUGAACUGUACCAACUCGUGUCGCCAGGGAACCAGUACGGUGCUCGGGACCAGUUCCUCCGACCUUGAGUUGGAUAACUGUAAAAGCUCAUCAUUUCCCAUGCUUGGUGCAAAUUAUUAUGCAUCACCAUUUACGCAUAUAUUUGAGCAAUUUAGAGCACCAGUUUCAUGGUUCCCUGAUCUGCUUGCUGCCGCAUGUCCUAUAUCAUGCAAUACUCAAGAAAAAGCAAAUGCACCACUCAGCAUAACACAUAUGACUCAAGAAUAUUUAUGAGUUGUUCUCUCUUUCAUGUAGUAUUCAUUUUGAUGUCAAUUAUAAUUCAAAGAAUCACCCAAAUUCUUAAAAAUGAAGCAUAUUCUGCUUCCAUUUCGUACUCAAACUACAAUGCUACUUUAAUGUGCCUAUGAAUUUCAAUAUCAGAUACAUCUGCAUCAAGUUUUCUCCUCAGAUAUUAAUAAGAACAAAAAGAGGAUAAAUCUGAUCCAUUUCUGGCAGGUUAAAAUAAUAAAAUAGAAGCACAUACUACACCAGUAUGAAAGGAACAAUUAAAAAUGAAACUACACAAAUAAAAUCAAGCAAAAUAAUAGUUUAUGAUAAGACUAACACUCUGUAUGAAGUCAUUGAUGAUAAUGUAAGAACAAUCCAGCAUGUAUUCAUUAACCCAUUGUCAAUAAGUUUUUCCGAAUGCAUUUUAGGCAAUAAAUUGAUGAAACUACCUGGGAUGGAUCCAAUGUUAACAUUCUCUCUAGCAACUCCAAAGCAUGCCGGUCAAAACUGUCAAAUCACAAAUAACAUUUUAACAGGGAUACAAACAAAACAACAUCCAAAAUUUCAAAACUUCAUACCUGCUCGUUAAUACAUUGCUUAUCAAAAACCAUCUCAUGCCAGAGCCAAUAACAUGGACGAAAAGAGAGAAAACAUACGAGUUACUUACUGCUUGAAAACCUCCCUGAGACGUCUCUUCAUUGGCCGCGAAGGCUUAAAAUUGUUAUACCAGGGAAUUUUUGAAACACCAGGCCAGUUGACCUCAUCCGGAGUUCCACAAAGUUCAAAUAUCUUAGUUAAUUGCUCUGGCUGCAAAAAACAGUCAGCAACGUAAAUGUCAUAUUCAACUUUGAGAGCUUUCAAUAAGACAAAAAAAAACUUAAUAACAAGUCAAAACAGACUUAUGAAAUCUGUAAAUACCAUAAAGAAAAUAGUUCGCAUCAACCAACCUGGUCUGCUUAGUUAAUUAUGAACAAAGAGUCCAAUAAAUCCAUAUCUCACUUCAAACUAAAAACUAAUCCAUUAAAAAUAACCUUUAAAUUAAUGCAAAAUCCUAAAUUUAGCAAAAAGAAAAAGGUGAACUAUAGCCAGCAAAGCAAGAAGGGCAAACUAUUUUUAAACAAAGUUUUACAUACUGAAUUGCAUGUACUAGACAUACUAUAUUGUACCGGCACAGGACAGGCACAGGGCUCAGUACAGUACCAUACUGAAAUCGUAUAGGCCCUGUCCUGACUUAGCACCUUUACCAUUUGUUGGUACGGAGGUGUAUCGUACCUAAUACCGAGACAUUAAAACUUGAUUUUAAGUAUUAAACAAUCAAUUGCAUGUGAUAAUCAACUUAUUUCGCAAUGACAAUCUUGGUUCAGUAAAAUCUCAGGGAUGACUCAAUGUUAUAAUUCUCAUGGACCAAAAAUAAUUCUAGAAAAGAGACUUACUAAUUGGUGCGUGAAACUAACCAAGUAAACAAUAAAUGAUAAGAUAUCCUACAAUAUGAAAACAACGUGCCUUAGACUUUCUUUACCCAGUGAAAAUUGCAGUACUCAUUUGAGUGCUUUGUAUUCAAGAAGAUCAUCCUAAUAAUCCCUCCAUACACAACUGCAUGUACGAAGAAACUAUUAAAAAAAACUGCAGCCUAAAGAUAUUAAGAAACAAAUUCAAGGAUUCUCAGUGUUAUGUUUGAAAUGCAUAACACAGUUAUCACUCAUUUUAUCAGCAUAAGAAUAAAGCUCAUCACUAAUAUGACCUUUCAUUUACAAAUGUGUACAUGAGAUUUGGUGGUGAAUAUGCUUCUUCUUGACCUGUGUAAGAAGAAACACUAGGCCCCUUUUUCCCCAAAUACCAGUAGCUACUUAGAGCAUAAGGUAUUCUUAUUGCAUCUUGCUAUAUGUUACUGUUAAUAUUAUUGUAAUAGUAAUUGAUGUUGUUGCUUAUCGAAAUCCAAUGCAUAAAGAUGCAAAGAUCUGAUUUGUUGUUCCAAUCAUUUUCCUUAUUGAAGCAACAAACAAACACCAAUUGGCAAGAAAGCCCCUAUUGCAUCUUGAACUACCAAAAUAUUAUACAAUGAGUUAGCCUUUGGGCUGCUUUGAUGUGAUCUGACCUCUGAAUACCCUCCUUUUCUCAUUUAUACCCCUCUAAGAUGAAUAAAACCCCCAAACCAACAGCAAUCACCUUGGAAACUUAAAAGCUUAGAUUCCCUUUCUUUCCAAAACAACUUCAAAUGCUUUUUUUUCUUUAGCAUAAUCAUUUGCAUAUUAAAAACUCUUCAGCAUUUCUCUUUUUUUAAUUGAUAAUUUCAUGCACACAAAUGUGCAUUCAGAUCUCCCUAAUUGAUAUAAAAUUCAGAUGCCAGGGGCUCCCCUAAUAUCUCAGCCGUAAACAAUUAAAUAGCAUUAUAAAUGGCUGUGAACAACCGGAUCUAUUUUUGAAUUUCAUCAAGUUCCUCCUUGUUACCUCUGCAUUUUUCCCUAUUUCCAAAACCAAAAAUCAAAGUAAAGCUUGCUUCCUGCUUAAUAUAGACCAACCAUACCCUUAAUCUAAUACCUCUUAGCAUACAAUAACAUGGUUGUGACAACUCCUAAAUAACAGCACCAUAAAUUUUAUUUAACCAUAACCCAAAAAUCCUCUCUCAUUCUCUUCUUGGUUAGCUCAUUAAACCUAGACUCAAAUUAUGAAGACUUUUUUCACAAAAGCCUAUGAUGUUUCCAAAUUGAGAUUCAUUUCCUUCAGUCUUUAAUCAUAUUGAAAAACUCCUUUCAGUGAUCCUCCACAUUACGUUUACUUAUCUCUUAAAUUGCAUUUCUGUUACUCAUCAUAAUAUGUGUUUAUCUAUUGAUAGUAGCAUGGUAGACAAUUUUUUCCUCUACUUAUAGUUCACGUGUGUCAACAAGACUUUCUGAACGCCAGCUGCAACAUCAUAAUAGGCUUAAUUUUAUUAAGAAUGCCGUCUACUUUGAGAAGAUUCACAGUGAGUAAUACAAGUUCUAUCAAAACUACGAGUCCCGAAAAAUCUUUAGAGAGCCUCUCAUAGCCAUACAAGCACAAAUACAUAAUUAGGGCAUUUGCUUGUCUAUACAACCCCCAAGUCAUGAAUGGACAUGAGGACCAAACUUACCUAAUAUGAACUAUAAGUAAUAAAACCCCUAUAAAAGAAAGAAUAUGUAUAGAUUCACAAAGAAGCACAAUACCUCAUUCUUUCCCGGCAAGAUUGGUUUACCAUACAGAAGUUCUGCAAAGAUACAACCAACAGACCACAUGUCAACAGCCGGACCAUACUUUGUAGCUCCAAGCAGCAACUCUGGAGGCCUGUCACCAAAAACACAAUGAAACUUGAUCAAUUGGAUACAGAGAGUGCUGUAUCUUGUUAAACCAGCAGAAACAGAAAGCUAUAUGCAUAUGGAAAUCAGCAUUGUCUUCAAAUGUUAAUGAAGAACAGAAGUAUUUACCUAUACCACAAAGUGAUCACACGAUUUGUUAGAUUUCCAUUGUGAUCACUAGAGAAUGAUCGUGCAAGGCCAAAAUCAGCAAGCUUUAGAUUUCCCUCGUUAUCAAUUAGAAGAUUAGAACCUGCAGUAACAAUAAUAACAUCGAAUCAGCAGCAAAAACAAGGUUAAAAAAAAAUUUCUGCCAUAUUAUAUAUAAAACCUUGUACUACCUUUAAUAUCACGAUGGAGCACUUGAUUGACAUGACAAUAAUGAAGACCUGUUAGCAGCUGCCUCAUGUAGCACUGAUUGGAGAUGACCAAACAGCAGUAGUAGACAAUCAGUAGACAGUAAAAUGAACCAUAACACCAGAUUAUAGAGACCUUCUUUAAUACCUUAAUUUGGGGUACCGUGAAUCUCAUCCCAGGACGAUCUGCUAGGCCAGUCAAAUCAUGAUCCAUGUACUCAAAAACCAUAUAAAUGCUUCCUUUAUACUUGUUACCAUCUGCAGUAUCAACAAUUUGAAGAACAUCGGAAUUCCCUACCAGAAAAGAUGGGCAGGAAGACAAAUAGAAAAAUAACACUGAAUUGUAAUUGGUGAAAUAGAUGAUUUUUAACUAAGAAGUUCACAGUGAAACUAUAAGGUACUGAACAAAACAAACCUGGCUUUCCUUGUUCAUCCUUUUCAGGACCUGGUCAUGUUUAACAAAAAUAAUUUAGAAUGAUAUGACAAACCUGUCAUCUAUGAAGAGGUAUUCAUAUGUGAUCAUGAAUCAAACCUGGAGAGGUCACAAUCUCUUUCAAUUGGAUAACAUUGUCAUGAUGCAGCUUCUUCAGAAUUUUGAUUUCACGUAUGGCUGUUAUAGGGAACUGCAAGGCCAAAUUUUAGCCUAGGUAGAGGAUGAACAUUUCAACCCUUCAAUUUGAAGAAUUUCCAUAAGCAUACAGAUAGAACAUAAAGGCAUACCCCCUCUCUUUCAUUGUCCAUUCUAAUUUUCUUCAGGGCCACUAUUUCCCCUGUUUUUAUUUCUCUAGCCAUGUAUACCUGCCUGCAAUCAUCAUAAGAAUAAAAGAAAUCAUAAUGUUUUGGGAUCAAACCAAUAAAAUAAGAAGUUCUAGAUGUUAAUGGAUAUAUGUUAAUAGAGUGUUGUAUACAAUCGCAUGCUGCCAAUGUUGCACAAAUGAUACAAAAACUUCCAGAUAUUUCAGAAGGCAUAAGACGAAAGAGCAACUCAAAGAAAUUCCAUCAAGACCUCAAGCAAUAAUACAAACAAAAGGACAUUGACAUGUACCUGUGUUGCAUACUGAUGAAGACAUCCAGAAAACAAAUCCCCCACCAAAACAUCCAUAAUGAAGUGUUAUGCAUACCACGUGACACCAAAUUGAUGGACGAAUUCACAGUUUCAUUGAAUUUUUGUGCCAUAAAAAAAAAGAUCACUAAAUCCAGCCUAAUUCUCCAACUGAGACUUGACAAAACCUUCAGCUAACAACAGAAAAGCCAAGUUCCAGUACGAAGCAUCUAUAUGCACAUGAUUCCCGAGAGUUGUCAAAUUUGUGAGCCAAUUCAAUUUUAGAGCUUCUUAUGAUUGUCUAUAUCAAUAUGCUAGUUGGCAUGUAAGGAAUACCAUCAGAGCCAUGUAGAUACCACAAGAAAAGAGAAAAAUCAAAAAAGAUGCAACCUUUCUACCAGAAUUCAAGAUUUACUGAAGAAAAGAAACAUAUUUUCUCGAUAACAUAAGAACACAAGAUUGCAAUCGAGACAAGAAUUUACGCAAAGGAAUAUUUAUUGAGAGAGCUUCGACGGUUCAUGCACUCACCCGUAUGUGCCUUCCCCAAUCUGCUCCAAUUUCUCGAAGCAGUCGACGCUCCGAGACCCCCACGAGGGGGGCUCUUCAAGAUUCAGCUGCCCGGGAGCGGCAACAGCCAUCCCCCCUUAUACUGCGAUUCCUCAAAAGAUCUAGAAGAGAAAAAACCUGGCAGAACAAAUACGCCGAGAUCAAUGGACAAUUUGAUCAAUUCCCCAAACAAGAUGCAACGCGAUCCUACCACGACACCCGAUGAAGGAUCUCUGAUUCAAUUAAAUCUAAAGAGUCAACGAACUCGGGAGGAAACAGGCCAUAGGGUUUUGGAGGGAAAGAAGAAGAGGGGAGGAGACAAGGGAGAAGGCAUGGAGAAAUCCUUUACAAAAGAAAAGAGAAUAGAAGGAGAGGGCUUUACCUUCGAUCAAGGAGCGCGGCGGCGACAGAACCCUGGAGUCGUCUACAAGAAGAGGACGGCUCGGAACCGGACGAGGAGAUAAUACGUGGAAAACGCACGCCUACAAUAGUUUACUGGAUUUACAUCCAAUAAUUUAUUAUAAAAACUUGCUCAAAAAUUUAUAUUUAUUACACUUAAUCUAUGCUUACCUUCGAUUAAAUUAACAAUAUUAAUAAAAUCACUUAUCUUAUAUUAAAAAAUAAAGAUAUUUUUUAUAUUUUUGAAUGGUUGUUAUACUACUUAAAUUUAUUUUGAUUAUUUUUUAAAUUUUUUUCGAUAUGAUAUUCGAAUCCUAUAUAAGCUUAAUGAUUUGGCAAAUGUUCUAUUAGAGUUAACUGUUAAAAAAAUAUAUAUCUCUCUCCAUCUAAAAGGCCUUUUCUAAUUUGGAAUUCAAGUUUUUUUUUUUUGCAGAUGCUUUAAACUAUUUCUUUUUUUUGCUAGGAAACUAUUCCUUUAACUUUAAAGCUUCUACCCAUACAGCUAGUUUUCCUUUUGUCAAAAUGGUAAAGCAACUUCUUUCUCAAAACCAAUGGUUUUGAUUUUAUUUUUUUUGGUAAAAAUAGAUUUAUUGUAUUGAUCUAGUGAAAUACAUUCGUGGAAAUCAUAAAAUAAAAUAAUAAGAGAAACACCUUUAGAUAUAAUCUAGUUUUCUAGAUAGAAAAGUUAAACAAGUUGAAAUAGAAUAGUUCUUAGUAUGCAGAGGAAGGAUAGAGGACGAAAGGGAGAAAAAAGAAUAGGGCUCGCAGGGAUGCAUUAGAAAGAUACAAAUAAGGCUGCAAAUGAGUCGGGUUGACCAGUGACCCGAUCUGAUUAGACCCUAUCCGAUCCAUUUUAAAAGACUCGUGGGGCGGGUUGGGUUCUAAAAUUGGAUUUAUUCUAUUUUCAGGAUCGGGUCUGGGUUUUUUGAAUUUCGACCCGACCCGAACCAACCUGAUCGAUUUGAAAUUUAAGUAAUUUUAGGCUUCCAAUCCUCCGAUCCGACCCAAACUCGCUUAACCAUUUGGGCCCACAGGAUGUAGGGGUGCAGGCCCGGCCACCCAGUUGGUGCUUAAGGCUCGACCUUGUGUCUUAACUUUCUAUUCCUAAUUGUUAAGCUGAAGUUGACAGUGAGUAGAAAUGUGGAGUAAUAUAAUGAUAUCAAGCUUCGUGGUGGUCUCAAAUUGUGGGGUUGCAUUUUUUUAUGAAGGUAGGUAGGUUAGAUAAGAGUUUGGUGGUCAUUAGGAGUAUGAAUACUUUCAUUGAUUACAUUUACCUGGAAUGAAAUUAGAAAAAAAAGAAAAUGCAAAUAUGUAUGAAAGAAUUUAUUUGUUUAAAAAGAAGAGGAAGUAAUAGAUAUAGUAACAUGUAGUGGAAUUGGUAUUCCAGAUCAAAUCAAUUUAAAAUAAGAUAGCAAAUUUCACCAAUACCAAAAACAGGUGAAGAUCCAUAAGUUUAUUCUACAUAUUUGGCAAUGUGGACCCAACCUUUUAGUAUCAUUAGGUCGAAGCUUUGUUUGGUGUUAGGUUCAGUGGUAGUAGGACUUCUGCAAGUAAUUUGAGCCUCAUGAGUCUUUAUUCUAUGCAACUAGUGGGCCAAUAAAUGGCUAAUAAUAUAUGAACUUAGUUUAUACUUGAACUCAGUCAUGCUAGCUUGUGCUAAAGAUAUCUCAAGCAUGUUUUACAUAUAAAAUACAAUAAACAUUAACCCAUAUUUAAGCAAAACAAAUAUUUAUUCAUUGUCUUUAUACAACAACAUCUGAUUUCUAUAUCUCUAUUAAUCUUUUUUUGAGAAAGUGAAAAUUCCUUAGAUAUAGUUAUUUACGGUGUAAGCAAGUUAUUAGAGUAUUAGCUUUUAUCCUUAUCUGGACCCAAACUGGACCCAAUCCGGAUCCAAAUUUUUUGUGUUGGGAUAUGGUUAUAUAUGGAUCCGACCUAACUCGAAUAAUCUAUUGGGUCAAAAAUUGUAGCCAUGGACCCGAUCCGAUCUUCUAUUGAGUUAGGUCUGGAUCCAAUAUUAGGACUUGAACAAGAAACAGGUUUGGGUCGGGGCCACUCAUGACCCAAUCCGACCCGACCCAUUACCACUCCUAGAUAUAGUUGUAUUUUCAAUGUCAUAAUCAAUCUAGGCUCAUGCUCCAACAAAAAUUCCUUGCCAAGCUCAUCAGACGUGUAGUGCCAAUCACAUGACAUGCAAACGCCAUCCACAUGCCAACUGCCCACACUUAAGGGGAUCUACAUGAGAUGCGAUGCAUCGCAAUAAGAGAAGUAACCAAUUAAGAUUGUAUUUGGUACCACUGUCACUUUUUUUUAAAUAAAAAAUUAAAACAGAAAUAUAUUUGGUAGUCAGUAAUUUUUUUAAGCAACAAAACUAGAAAAAUAUAUUUAAUAAACAAAGCUAGACAUAGAGGUGGCAAAGAAAGAGGUACUUAAGGAUGCACUUGGCCUUAACAAAGUGGGCGACCAUCGCAAGAGGAUAGUUAUAGAAGGCACGAACCGAGGUGAGGGAGGAGUUGGAGAGGAAGCGGAGGACACAGAGUUAUGAGGACCUCAGUGGAGAUAUCAAAAAGGCUGUGGAAGGCUAGCAAUAGUAGAGAAGGAAAACGAUGUGUGGGGUGAUGAUGAGGGCGUCAUCGGUGUAGAGCACGAUGCCAGGGACAUUACAAUGAGAUGGAAAGAAAGCCGAAUAGACAGAGAAUUGGAGAGGAAUCGGAAUAGAGAUAUGAGAGGCACUAGAGAAGGAAGCCUAAAAUUUUAUUUUUUCUGAAAAAAAGAAGGUAGUUUUUUACUUUCACUUUUUUUUUUUCAUAAAUAAUGAAAAUGUUUUAAAAAAUAAAAAAAUUGAAUUUUUUUUCUUUACACCAAAUACCGUUACCAAAUAAACCCUAAGGAAAAUACUUUGGGGCACCUACUAGUGCAAAAUAAAACUCUUAGAUCACAUAAUGUUGGCUAGCAACUCAACAUACAGCACCUUCACAAAUAUCGAUCCUCUCAUGCCACACGGCAAGGUGAUUUUAUGAAGUGCAUCAAGCGGAUGCCUCAUAGCAUUUCUCCGCAGUAUCCACAUGUAUCAGUGAAAAUCUGCAUACUUGCAUGUAAUCUGUGCAUGUAUGAUAACAGUUGCGUUAUUGCAACAAAGGAAGCCUCAAUCUGUCAAAAUGAGCACCACUGAAGAGUUUCCUAGCAUAACAGCAUCAUCACUCUAUCAGAAUAGCGCCACCAAAGCUUGUAAAGUUCCCCAGCAUAACAGCAUCAUCACAAGGCCUGUAAAGCACUAGAUCCCGUCAAGCAUACCUAGGCGAUCAAUCAAGG
rnacentral:lncRNA from 1 species